CCAGAACACACCACAGGCACAUGAUGAUUUCAAAUCAUAUAGGAUCUAAUAUAGACGAUUCACGGUUCAUAUUACCAAGAGGUCUGCAACAAUGAUCAAGUCUCACAACAUCAAGUGCACUUUAAUUUAGGCAACAGAACAAGACUCAUUACACCUCCACAUAGCUAGGCAAAUAACGAAAGCAGUAGACUAAGAAGGCAACAGUACAGCAUUCUUCUUCCCGAAGACAGACAGGUAUAAAGGAAGAAAUUUCUUAGCGCAGCCUCCUGGCCUCCCGCUCAGACUCGAGCAGGGUGAGGAUGUCCCCCUCACGGACGGGUCCCUUGACGUUCCUCAUGAUGAGACGGUUCUGGUCAUCCAGGAACUUGACUCUCACCUGGGUCACCUGACCCCUCGACCCCGUGCGGCCCAUCACCUUGACCACAACCGCGAGCUUCACCUGCGUGUCCAUGCUGCACAAACCAUCGCAAAGGAUUGAUUGCAUUAGGCAAAAACCAUCAGAAACAACUAACAUUCAGAUGCACUUUCAAGCAGAACAGCUAGUGUACAUACAAUUCCAUUGCACUUGAGAUAGAUCAUACAGGAACAUGUCUACUGUGUGUUGCCAGAAUACAUGAAAAACAGAAGCUGAAGAAUGAGCUGACUGCAGGCAAGACUGAGCUUAAACAAUCAAGGGAAGUGAUCAGCAACAGUACGAAGGCUCUGCCAGACGGUGCUCUGAGCCGGCUGGACACAUACAAGAAACUAGAAUAUAAUGACUCAGUCAGGUCCCUAUGUGGCUGAGCCUCGUCAGUCCAUGGUUUCGCUACUUAUAAUAAGGCCUGAUGUAUUGCAGAUUGAGUGUCCACAAGCAAUGUGGUCUAAAUAUCCAUGCCACUGCAAUCUACAGCAGUGACCCUGCUUGAUCUUUUGGUGCAUUUGUUACCACAUUCCAUUUAACUUUUUACUGAAAUGUGAUUCAGAAACAAUGCAGAGUUGCCUCUGUUUAGAUGCAAGCUAACUUUCAGAAACGUAUCAUUUUCAACCGCAUAUGUUCACUGGUUCAGAUUUAAUAACAUGAAGUAUCAAUCAAGCUGGGAGCUGAGACCUGAGAACUAGGCACUCCAAUUUCUGCACUUUACUCUAGCCCCCUGCAUACUGCAAAUCAAAGAGCGCGCACACAGAUGACCGGCACCAAGUCGAGUUCAAGAGACGCUGAUGCCUAUGGUCGCCGCCGUCCAAAGAUGGCUCCAACAAUAAUUACGUUUUACACAGAAUAAGGCCCGAUUCCUCCUCUAUACUAUACAAAUCUUCAGCAAGAACCACCCCGAGGCAUAUUUCGAGAUCUAAAGAGUAGCUGCCAAUAUCGGCACAAAACUAGGCACUGGAAGCGGAAGAUGAAACAAGCAUCUCUCAGAAUCAUCAGUAGUACGCAUCAAACUAGACAUGCCGGGAAUCUCAACUAGCAACGAAAUCAAUCACAGUAACUAAAUCGAUCCAGCACAGAAAACGAAACCGACAGGUCCGUAGAGCCGGCCGUGAGGAGGCCUAGGGGAGGGAUGGAGGAGGGGAUAGGAACCUUUCUUCGGCUGUUGGGGAUGGGACGACGGAGGAGGCGGCGCAAGCUGCUUGUGCUACAACGGACGGAGGCGGCGGCGCAGGGAGGGGGGAGAGAAGAGAGGGUGGAACCCUAGCGCUCGUCCAAUUCUUAUACGCUGCCGGCGGCCUUGCAGAAGAUUGGGCUCCAGGGCCGGGUCGCUCCUGUGCUAAUGGGCCUAAACCAGCGCGCGAGACAACUCGACUGAAAAAGAGCGAGCGAGCGUACAUCAAUUUUUUUUCGAGUUGUUUCGCUUUCAUCUAUUUAAAAAUCAUGAAUUUGAUAUAUAAAAAAAUAUUCAGGAAUUUAAAAGUUGCACACGGAUUCAAAAGAUUGUUCACGAAUUCUAUUUUUUCUGAGAACUUGAAAAAAAGCAUGAAUUUAAAUGUUCAUCGUGAAAAAAAGCAUAAACUUGAAAAAAAGCAUGAAGUUAAUCGCAAAUUUGGAUAAUCAUCAUGGAUCCAAAAAAAACUCCAUCGAUAUGCAAAAUGUUCAUGAAAUUAGAAAAUGUAUGCAAACAAAUUUUGUAAAAUGUCAACUGUUUGAGUUUUCAAACAUUAUUUCUCAUAGUGAUUAAAAUUUGAAAAAAUAAUGUUCAUCUAUUCAAACAACUUUUCAAAAAAAUCUAAAAUUAUUUUCAUAUUUCAAAAAAUGUUCAUGAAAACCAAAAACUACUCGCAAAUUUGGAAAAAUCUUCAUGGAUCCAACAAAAACUCCAUGGAUAUGCAAAAUGUUCAUGAAAUCAUAAAAUGUAUGCAAAACAAAUUUUGUAAAAUGUCAACUUUUUGAGUUUCUAAACAUUAUUUCUAAUGCUGAGUAAUUUUUUUAAAAAAUGUUCAUGUAUUCAAACAAAUUUUCGAAAAAUCUAAAAUUAUUUACAUAUUUCAAAAAAUGUUCGUGAAAAACAAAAACUACUUGCAAAUUUGGAAAAUGUUCAUGGAUCCAAAAAAAAUCCAUGGAUAUGAAACAUUUUUCAUGAAAUCACAAAAUGUAUGCAAACAAAUUUUGUAGAGUGUCAACUUUUUUGAAUUUUUAAACAUUAUUUGAAAUUCCGAGUAAAAUUUUGCAUAUCCAGAACCUUCUUUGGAAAAUGCACACACUUAUUGAAGAAAUGUAACCAUUUUUAAAUUAUAAAUUAUUACUGAAAUUUCAAGUAAUUUAAAAACUGAAUAUUUUGAAAAAAAACAUGGAUAAUUUUUCUAAACACAAGAUUUUUCGGAAAAGAAAACAUUUUUUGAGGUCUUGGACAUUUUUUGGAUAUUUUAAAAAAAUUGUCAAAAAAAGAACCAAAAAAGAAAAAUAAAUCAAAGAAAACAAAAAAUGAAAACCACAAAAAGAACCAGUAAAUAAAUGAAAAAAAAACUUGGCAGGAACCGUCUAGAAGAUUCAACCGAUAAAACCGGAUUGGACCCCAAACCGUUCCAGCUAAUCCCUCCCAUUUGCCUCUUAUUUGGCCAGCCCAACUUGGACGAUGAACGGGCGAUUGGACGGAUAUCUAUCGCUAUACAUAGGAAAUCACUAGUUAAGAGUUGCCCAUUGCAAAUGUCACUCUUCACCUUCUCAGUUGCUGACAAGUGACACACUACAUGUGCACCAUUUGAUCACAAUAAACAUAGGCCAUGACAUUUACAGCUGAAUGCAAUCGGAACAAGGGGUGUGAUACACCCAUCCUGAAAUCCUAUAGAAGUACAUCAAUUUGGCACCUUGUACCAGAAAUAAAACCCGAUGUCCCUAACUCCCUAUGAUUAUAAAUGUCGGGAAGAGAAUAUGAACUAUGAUAUAUAUUUUUUUAUAUUUUUUGACGUAUAUCUUUCUAUCCUAAUACAAGGUGAUGCUCAUGCGAACGUUUCAGAAGUGGAUACCUAAGGUAAAAAAAGGGGAGUUUCCUUGAGAAAUUGGCACAUCUGGAAGAAGCUAAAAAAUAUGUUCCAAUGAUUUACAUAUGUAGGUAUCUCACAUGAAAUUUGUUCUAACAACCAAAUAAGUUAUUUAAACUUCAGGUUGAGGAUUAUCUUCCCCUUCUCACCCUUCUAUCUUGGUUCUCAUACUACUUUUUUUCCUGUAAAACAAUACUUCCAAAUUGGAGUACCAAAAUACGAGCAACAAUAUCAACAAAUCUAAAUUCUGAUGCAUUAGCAUAUUUGACAUGAAUAAGUAAAAGAAAAAACUAUAGAGAUGCAACAUCAGUAUAGAAGCUAAUACAUUUAACAUGUAUAUUUGCCUGAAAAAACAAACCACCAUACAUCCUUUUUUGCAAAAAUUAUCACGAUCUAUUAUCAAAAUUUCACUAAAAAUACAAAGCACCUCAAACAUAUGAAAUAAUACAUCACGAUUCUGAGACCACCGAAUGACCACUAAAACCGCCAGAACUAGCAGCCGACGCCCCACUAUCGCUGCUCCCCUAUUGGGGUCAACUUGACCUUGAAGAUGACAGUCGGGAAGUCUAUGUAUACAUGUCCCUAAGGACACCAUACAUCCUUUAGACCCCCACCCCCAUCCCCACUACGCCUACCCGACGAGUACCUUAAUCAUGAUUCCUCUAAUUACUAGAUUGUAGCCUUCAACCCAAUGGUAUAUAUAGCGCCUUUUGGUUGCAACACAAGUUUCACGAAGCAAACCAAGAGAUCAAGAACAAGGAUAUUUGCGUAUGCACUCUGGAGUUAAAAUUCGCCCAACAUGCACAUAGGGCGAGACUAUUGGAUCCAUCAUGAAAGGGACCAAGAGGAGACGAUUACCAAAUUGCAUGCUCAGCUCCAGCAGACGCGGGAGGCUCGGGCUUUUGUUCACAGUAAGUGAACUCUAGGCAUGAUUUACUACAUAGUAUGGUGCCAAUUUUGCUUCCUAAAAUACUUGUGUGACUGGCUAUGAGUAUCUAGUUAGAAUUGUCUUGAUCUACUCUGAUUUACAACAAUAAUAGUAAUACAAAAAUACACCUCUCUGAAAUUAUAGUAAUAAACUAGUAUCACAUUUUUACAUUUUACAACAUGUAGCUAGAUGAACCAAGUCGUAUUCAUCUAAUAUGAUGAAAGGUUUCAAUGGUACACAUAUCUAGCAGCAGAGGAUGGAGUCCAAUGGGUUCCUAGUGGGAGUCCCAGAGAGUUGUGUUGGGUACGUGCCUCUAUGUCCUCCUCCUUAUCGGCAUGACCAACACAGUCGCACCAAGUUCUCAUUAAUGACCAUGGAUAAGAAGUUCGGCUCCCAAGCAUGUUGAAUAAAUUUACUACACUUUACUAUGUGAGUCGUCCAGUACACCUCUUUGUUUUUUCUUGAAAAGAAGAAUCGAAGAAAAGAAAGAACCGAGGAAGAAAAUGAAGAAUAGGGGGGCCAUAGCCCCCCCCCCCCCUCCUUAAACCACGAUUCAUGUAAUUAUUCAAAUGCAUCGAUGAAAGAGCUCUCGUGUUAGAACUAGGAAGGGUCAGAUUGGUUAUAUAAUUGUUCUCUAUCUUUAAGACAGGUAUAUUGGGUCUAAGCACAUGGCUAAAUCCCAGAUUCACUUCCAGGAUUGGUGAUGCACUAUAUUUAUUUAGGAAUGAAGUUCCCACGGGCUCGUGAUAUUGGUUGUCUUUGUGUUUAUACUAGUGAAACAAGUAGUCCGAUUUUAUUGUAUUAUCAAAUUAAUGCAUGUGCCACGUUGUGUAAACCGUUGGCCAAGUGAAGACCGCCACCGGGGAAAUCAAAGAAUAAACCUAUGUGCCUUUGGACAUCACUCGUACGAGAUGUCUUUCGUUAAGAUUAAUUAUAUCCUUUAUCCUUCUACAUAAGUAUGCCUUGUUUGCAUACUGCUUGGUAUUAUAGAGUCCUUUUACAAUACAUCAAAUAAAUUUUGGUCGUUUAUUUUUGUGACGCAAUGGUUCAGAUGCAUUAAUACUACACUACAAUUCGUGUAGUAUAUUCAAGAUCUAGGCUAUAUUGGGAAGAUCAUUGUUUUGACGAAGAAGCCCCCGACCGAGUUUGAUAAAUAGUUUGCUGCAUGGGAGGGCAAGGAGUGGAGUAAAUAUACAUCGACAGUUGAGUAGAUACAGUCAAGUAAAUGGUAUAGGCAAGUACCAAAUAUUUUCUUACUAAUAUUGUAUACAUGGGAUGAAUGGAUCAGCCUCAUUCUUUGCAUAGAAUAAUUAGUCUAUGCAUGUUUAUUUAGUAGCAUCAUUCUUCUGCAAUUUUCUUAACCAUGAUAUCCAAUGGUCCUCGUUCUUUUCAUAAAUAAUUUGUCCAUGGCUUUUUAUUUAGUAGCAUCAUUGUCUAUGUUCUUAACCAUGACAUGCAAUGUUCUUAACCAUGAUAUCUAAUGCAGGAGUUCUCCCAGUUCCAUGGCCCCAACUAUAAUACUAGACUAGUCCAUCAAGGCGCGCGUUGCCGCGCCCGUCCAUUCUAAAAAUAAUAUUAGAAAUAUCUGAAUGAUAUAUGGGAAUUUAAAAUGAAUUAUAUAUUUUUAAUGGUUCGAGAUACAUUGCUUCAAGUCCACAGCCAUAGAGAAAGAACGUUUGAUAUUUUGACAGAAGAAUGAUUGCUUAAUUAAGCAAGAACUCUGCUUGAAUACGUAACUUCAAGUUCAGUUCUAACACUCUGAAGCAGUAAAACACCAAUGAUUUUGUGUCUACUUGCAUUUGAACACCCAAGGGACGAAUAUAUAGAAAUGCGAUCCUUCCUUCUGAUAGAACGUAUUUACAAAUUCAAGGUCGGGUUUGAUUGACCGGUCCACUGAACUAACACUGACACUACAUACCCAUUUGCCAAUAAUUUUUACCAUUAGCAGGUGGUUUACGGGUACCGUUGUUUUGAAUCAUGGGUAUAUACUACUUCAGUUCUAAUGAAUGCGAGGAUGUCUUUGAAUAUGACUCAUUGCAUCCAAUCCAAAUAGAAUUGGAAAUUCAGAAUUAAGAAAAGCGCAUAAUAUGCUGACUGCUGAGGCCUGGCAGCAAUAGACGGGCAGAUAAGAAUUGUGUGACCCGUAAGAAUCAGUCAAGAAAAUACAUUCACCCAAUCAGAGAGAAAACUCUAGUCUGUAUCUCCUCAUGGUGUAGUGACCACCUGAAAAACACUCGUGUGACUCAAGUUCAGAGGAAGUACAAGGAAAAAGGGAUUUACAGUGCUCGUACCUCAUGUGUUUGUUUCCUGAAGUGAGCACACUGGAGAAACUGGAUGUCGCUCACCGGAAAUACAUCGCCGUCGCCAGAGAGAUCCCUUUGGAGUUGAUUGCAAGAAUUGGAUCCGAGCCUCAGAUGGAAGUGGUGGGAGGGGCUAAUUCAGAGGGUUUCAGCGGCGUCUGCACACCAUCUAUUCUUCAUCGCUUCUUUUUCUUCCCCUUCAGCGAGCACCUUAGCAUCAAAGGAAGCUACCGGGAAACCAUGAGGGGCAUCUUCUUCCUGCCGUCGGGGGGUCGAUGUUGUUCGAACAGUGAUGGAGGAUGGGAGGACAAGAGGAAGUAGAGGAUGCGGUGGUCUGCUGCUGCUCAGGGAACGUGUACGGCGGUCGGGUAUAUGUUUUAGGGAAGGUGUGCGGUGGUGUGAGGAGGCCGUCGCCGCCGCCAUCACCUGGAGAGGCAUGCGGCCCUCGCGUGCUCCCUCCCUUGCCUCUGCGCUGACACCAACCGUCUAUUCACGAUCGCAGGCUACACAACGUCAGUGCAUUAGAGGGCCUCCAAGUCGUUCAUUGGAGCAGCAGCCCAUUUAGUGUUGGGCCGUCCGGGACGCUUGAGGUGGAGUGGUAAAAGGCUGUCGGGCAUGCACAGUGAAACGACGGGACAAUCGACAACGUUGAAUGAACUAAUCGGACGGUUUAGAGAGCCAAAUCGCUGUGGAGGGGCCUAGGUGGCUCAGUUUUACUGUUUUUCAAUCUGUUUCUGAUGCUCAGACUAUUAUAAGUCAGAGGGUUUGUGCAUUCUUUAUUCAGAGUUAAUAAAACUGCUUUUUGAGAACAAAAUGCAAGUUGACACUAAAACCGAGUUCCAGCAUGAUCUUGCAAUGUGUCUUCAGGUAUUUUGUUAAUUCUUUCUCACGCUGGGGUAAAUGCAACUCUAUUAGGCGCUUGCUUAAAAAUGUCACUAGACACCAUUACUGUCAGCUCAAACCUUGUUUACCAUAUUAUAAUGACCAAAAUAUACAUGGACCAACAUGUCAUCUCUCCCUCUAUCUCAUUACGUAAAAGUGUGUAUCCCACUUGAUCCUAACAACAUACAUAUUUUCCUCUAGAAUUAUUUGCUUGCUUACUCCUAACAAGUGAGGUUCACACUUAUUAUUGUAAGAUUGAGAAAGCUAACAUGUGGGUCUAGGAGUAUUAUGGUCAUAUAACAUUUUCAAUGGGUUUGACCUGACAAUAAUGUUGUCUAAUGGCAUUUUUGAGAAAACAUCUAAUGGAACGAUGGAAAUUUUGAGGUAUCUAAUGGCAUUUUUGAGCAAGCAUCUCAUUGAACGAUGGCAUUUUUGAGUAGUUGUAAAUUCUGAUGGCAAAACUGAGUAAUGAGACACAAUUAAUGACAUAAAUGAUAAAAACCCUUAAAAAUAAAAUAAAAAUGAUUAGGAGGAAGUUGAGGGGAACUGACAAAAGUUGCUUUUGGAAAACUUCCCCUAACUUUCAAGGAAAGUCCAAAAACUAGUUUUACAGAAAGAUUUUUAAGGGAGUUGUUAGAGUUGCUCUUUUUCUAAAGAGAAAAAUUCACUAUAGGUCCUUUAACUUGCGUCGAUGACCACUUUAGUCCCUGUAGUACAAAAUACCCGAAAUACCAUCCCUAAACUUGUCCUAGGGGUUCACAUACGGUCCAUUAUACUGUUUGGUCUAUGUAUUCGCUGAUUUGGCAACGUCAACUCGUGCCACGUGGGCGCUGACUGCUACCUCAUCUCCAGCCGCUUGAAUACGCAGGAAAACAGGGGGUCUUUUGCAAAUUACGCACAUAAAACAGCUGCCCCCUCCCCAUCUGGUCGGACCGUGCGACCCUUCCCACCUGGUCGGACCGCCCCAACCUAGUCCGUCCCCGCCGCCACCUCCCUCCGCCGCCCUCUGCUGUCGCCGCUGCCUCCAUUGCAAUCUGCCAGUUGCAACGGGGAGGACUGGGAUAAGCCACAUCACUCCUCCUCCUGUUCUACGCCUUUCUUCGUCAAAAACACCACAACAAAGUAAAACUCCCAAUGGCCGAACUGGCGGCGGCGCCCGCGGGGAUGGACCCGCCCAACGGAUUCUCUGCGGCCACUCGGACCUUCCACAGCGUUCGCUCCAGCUCACGGCCGCGGCCGCGGCCUACGCCUUCUUGCUCCUCGCCUCCCCGACCGCCCCGCGCUCGUCGACGACGCCACAGGCAUUGUCGUCUCCUACACGUCCGUCAUCGCCUCCGCCCGCUCCCUUGUAGGCGGCCUCUGGUCCUCCCUCGCCCUCCGCCUCGGGACGUUGCCUUGGUCAUCGCGCCCUCGGGCCUCGAGGUCCCCGUGCUCCACUGGGGCUCAUGUCCAUCGGCGGCGUCGUGUCCUGUGUUUUGAUUUUCGGUUUGAGAUUUUCUCGCCCCAGCCGAGAUGGCCGAAUUUUGGCCAUUUUUAAAAAUUUUGACCAAAUUUUCACCAAAAUUUGACUAAAAUUUAACCAAGAUUUGUCAAAUUUGACCAGUUUAGCCCGAAAGAUAGAUUUCGCCCCAGGCCGAGAUGGCCGAAAUUCGGCCGAAAUCCAAUUUUUUCGGGCAAAAUUCAAAACACAGGUCGUGUCCCCCGCCAACCCGGCCUCAACCCCCAAGGAGUACGCGCACCAGGUUGCCCUCUUUAGGCCCGUCGUCGCGUUCGCGGCCCCCGAGGUCGCCGCCAAGCUGCCCGGGCACGUCAGGUGCAUCGUCCUCGGGUCCGAUGCGUACGAGAGUCUGUCCUGCGCAGGCGCAAAGGCGGCUCCUCCGCCGGCCUUCACGCUGCUCCCACUCCCCCUGUUCCACGUCUUCGGGUUCAUGAUGGUUUUGCGCUCCAUGUCCAUGGGGGACACGGCCGUGCUCAUGGAGCGCUUCGACUUCGGUGCCGCGCUGCGUGUGAUGGAGCGGUACCGCAUCACGCUGCUGCCCGCGGCGCGGCCCGUCCUGGCGGCCAUGAUAAAGUCCGAGGAGGCACGCCGCCGCGACCUCUCCUUUCUCCUCGUCAUCGCCGUCGGUGGCGCGCCCCUUGGCCGGGAGGUCGCCGAGCGCUUCGCCGCUGUCUUCACCAACGUCCAGAUUGUUCAGGUUAAGCAUCAGACUCCAUCCAGGCUACAGAAUCUACUACCCUAUAAAAGCACGAAAGGGCGGAGAACCAAAUCAUCUCAACCAUCAACCAUGCUGAUCUAAUGGUCCAAAUCGGCUUGUGGCAUCAAACAUGUUUAACACUGUAAUUACCCACCACUGCCAUUGGUUAUAACCAUGUUUGUUUAGCUCCUACAGAAAAAAGGCCUCUGGAUCCCCUCUCCAUCGUCACGCCCGCCCACGAUCUCCUAUUACCCUCGCAAACCAUCAGGUAGUUUCGCCCCCACCAGCCCCUUCCCGCACCACCACCCUUCUCUCCCGCUUGCGUGGUCUUUGCCCCGCCCAAACCUCCCACAUGGUCUUCAUGCUCAUGGCCGCCGCCUGGCCCGCCUCUGGAAACCGGCACCAUCACGCGGCCAAAUCUUCGGCUCCAUCCCCUGCAUCGCUGCCUUGCUUUGCUCCAAGAACGGCGGCCCCAUGUCCCUGCUAGCGUCCAUGACUCAACACCCUACACCCUGUGACCGGAGUAGGAGAGGACUUGCUCGAACAUGGCAAUCCCGGGCCUGUGCCUGCACUCUACACCACCCCUCUGCUCCGGUCACUUCAGCAAGCGAUGCCACCGACGGAACCGAGCAGGGGCUUCUCCAUCGCGCUGACAAAAGAGAUGUGAUCGUCGAGGAGUUCUUCUGACGCGCUGCACGUAGAAACAAAUCAAUGUAAGCAUCAGACCCUCACAUGUGAUUUCUGAUGUCCAAUUAUUUGUGUUGUCGUCGGCGUAUCCCGGUAAGAUCAGCAAUACGAUGCAUCCCAUUCUUGGUUACGUUUCUUACUUCAUCUGAUAAGGCCAGAGUAAUUUAUGAAAUAAACUAACGCUUCUGCCGCACGGCGUUGACAGUUUUCAGAAUCAUGAAAAAAAUUAACGCUUUGUCUGUUCAAUCCAAGUCGGGACGCGAGCCGCCAUGCCGCCCGUGCAUGUAGACUACGCACCGCGAUCAGCCGCCUCUGAGCCUCGUGUAGCGCGCCGUCGUCAUCAGCGGCGGCGCCAGGUGAUCCCGACGGGAGUGGGAGGAUCUACAGCGUCCGUCCUCACUGUUCUUGGUGCUUCUCUGGCGCUGAGUGUGGUCCUGUCCUGCGCGCUGUUCUACAUCGUCGGCCAGAAAAGCGAGUCUGGUCCGUCCGGGGAGAAGCAGGAAAACCUACAGGCCAGAAAAACGAGCAUACAACUUGUGAUGCAAUUUUGAGGUCUGUAGGUUUACGUGGUUCUGAUCUGAUUGUUGCAUUUUUUGUUCUGUUUCUAUUCUUCAGUGAAAGAUCUAAAUGUAAUCUUCUAUAUGUCCUUCAUGUUUUGUUCGACACAGCCUUGUUAGUAUAAUUGUUACGCCGUGUUGUGCCAUGGUGAUUUGUCUAUAACUGAAUUCAAAAUGAUCUCAAAGUUGGCAUGUGCGAGUGCCUGCGAUAUUCUCUGGUUGCAGUUUCUCCAAUGCUGAAUGUUUAGUCUCUUGAGACUCCAGAUUGCCUUCACUUGGACGAACUUGAGCUAGCGGCUGUCGCAACAUCAGUCGUCUCCUCCCCUUCCGACCGUUGGUAAUUUACGGAUGCUUCCUGACUUCUAUUAUCAGUUUAAAAAAUAUGCAAGUAUUCACCUUUCUUUUGCAAUGUUGGCCAGUUUAAAUAUGUCUGUUCAAUACCCAUUUAUACUUCCACACGGUUUUAGACUCUUGAUAAAAUCACGAUAGCUGCAACGUGAUUCUUUCUGUAGCUUGUCUUUCACACUUGGAAACAAUAGAAUAGAAAAUAGAAUUAUGUGUUUUAUACAUUCAAUUAACCUUUUUUGUCUUAUUAUCCUUUGUAUUUAACCAUUUGCAAUUUUUGAUUCUUGCAUUGCUUCUGUUAUAGUACUAUUAUACUUUCAAUUAACUGUUUCGAAAUUAUGAGCUUUCUAUUAUUUUUUAGUAGUCCAUAUAUGAUAGAGAUAUAUGGAAAUUGCAAUUCUUUAGUGUCAUAUAUUUAUAAAAUCAUGGUUCCCAUGCCUGGUCAGGGUUGAGGCUCCUUCGAAUUUUUUCUUCUCAUAUGUUAAAACUUAUUUGACAGUUGUGCUUUAAAACACAGAUCAACAAGAAUUAUCCAGAUGCACAUCCAUUUGUGUCAAGGGAUUGUUCCUCAAUUGAGGACCUAACGAACUCAUCUGCCAAUGGGAAUGCAGAAAGUAGCCAUACUCACAAACUUGAAAAGAAAAGUAGCCAACCAUUGUAUAAGAAGAAAGCAAAAUUCCUCGCGAAACUUCGUGUCGCCCGACAACAAAAGAAGUCUAAAGUUCUAGGUAGUGUUAACCACGCCCAGGUAGCACGGUCAGAUGCUUCUUCUUCAAUAGGCCUGAACCGUCGAUAUCGAGGAUGACCGCCGUGGUCGUCCAUGAAUCCUGAACCACAGUCACCGGGAACGGCUGCCAGUUUGGCAUGGUGAUCAAGGAGGUCCUUCGCAGGCAAGGCGCUCAUGGGUAGUCCACCACUGGUGCCCUUGUGAUUUGCUUCAUUGGUACUCCCUCCGUCCGCGAAUAAGUGUACUUCUACCUUUUGUGCUAAGUCAAAGUUUUAAAAUUUUGACCAACUUUAUAGAAAAGAGUAGUAACAUAUAUGACAUCAAAUUGGUAUAUUAUGAAACUACAUUUCAAAAUGAAUCUAGUGAUCCUAAUUUAGUGCCAUAAAUACUGCUACUUUUUCCUAUAAAAUUGGUCAAAGUUUUAAAACUUUGACUUAAAACAAAAGCUAGAUGUACACUUAUUCGUGGACGGAGGGAGUAUUUCAGAAGAACUGUUUUUACUAUCAUAAUUUUCAUCCUUGCCUGAUUUUUUUAGCAGUACUUAAGCUUAUAUUCCGUUUGUACUCAUAUUAAUUGUGAUGAUAUUAAGGUUGUGAUAAUGUACAUUUUUUUGAAUAUUUACUAUGGAGCAAGGACCACAACCCUUUAUUAAUGAAAUAAAAGAGUUAACCACUGUACGAGCAGACCAGCCAGUCUCAAGUCCAGAAGUUAGAAGGAAUCUACAUUAUACCUACCUAUAUUUACAUGAGGGUGUUGACCCAAGCUAAGACCUGUUGUUUGAUGCUAUCUCUAGGCCUAUGCGCUAGAAGAUGAAUAUCAUGUACAAAUUUACAUUUCCAGGUAGCAAAAGAAGCACGCUCUCCCCUGACAGUUCUUCCAUUCCUUAAUAUCCAAAUGUUCCAAGCUGCCAUGAGCAUAAACUCGAAGAACAAAGGAUGCCCAAACCUUGACCUUGCUUGAUAUAUGCAUUGCUGGACAUCAGAGCCAUGGGUCCUGUCAAUCUGAAGGUAAUUCCAAACCCUGUAGCUAAAAUUAAUUACAUUGGAAAAACAGAUGGGUCGUAUCUUCAUGGAGGUAUGCGUUACAUAUAACACAGAGAUUAUCAUCACUUGGGGACCUCCGGUGCCUUCUCACUAGCAUGUCCUUGGUGUUGAGCCUGUCAAAAAACAGUAACCAUGCAAAAACCUUUUUUUUCAUUGUGCAUCUACUUUUCCAUAACCAUUUACAUGAUUGGAUUGUAGGAAGUUGAGAGUAUAACGUACAUUUUAUCCCGCUGGCAUAUACUUCCUCCGUUUUUAAAUAUAAGUCUUUUUAGAAAUUUCAAUAUGGAGUACAUACAGAUGUAUAUAGACGUAGUUUAGACUGUAGAUUCACUCUCCAUGUGUAUAUUUAGGAACGGAGGGAGUAUAUAUAUAGGUCGAAAGAACAAUCAACGGCAGCGCAAGAACAAUGAGAAUAAAGCCGGGAAGUUAAAUUCAAUGCCUUUGUACAUUAAAAAGUUUUUUUUGAUUAUAGCUUUUCUAAAACUUCAAGUAUAAAUAUGUUUGUAAUAUUUCUAACUUCUAUGAUUGGAUCAUUUUAUCUAUAUACGUGAUUUUUCACGUGCAAGCUUACUAACUUGAAAAGUGUGGUACCAUGUCAUAUGAUGAACGUUACCAUGGCUGUUUUUUCUUCUUGUCAUCUUCUUACAGUACCAUCGAGAACUGCCAAUAUACGAUACGAGACAUGCUGGCAAGGGGUAUUUGAUAGAAGUAGAUGUAUGUCUGAAAAGAGCAUUAAUCGAGACGUGCAUUGCACGUGCAAGCUUACUAGUACUACUAAAUCUUUCAUGCAGGCUAGAGAAUACUACUAAAUCUUCCAUGCAGGCCGGGCAGGAGGAGGAGGAGCCGUGGAGUGUGGAAGCCUGAGGCGAUCUACGUGUGUGAUUUAACCCUAAUAAAAUCGGUUUGUGAUUUUGUGGGCCAUAUGAGGACCUGGAGAGAUCGAUCGGAUCGAAAACGGCACUGCUGGAGGGAGAAGGAUGGGGCGCACAACUUCCUAGGAGCAUCCUGUGAUCUUCCUUUUUCGGCCGUGCACUCAGACUAGAAAGGGACGCGGAUUUUUCGAGCACCUGCGCCGGGGCCGCGUUAUCCUGGCGGUCGAAUAGUCGCGGUUUACCUAGAGAUGUCCGACAGGAAUACUGGUUUAGCCUACGUAUUACCCUCGUCGUAGGGUAACAGCAUCACGGGUAGGCUCUGCACAUUUUUGUCUUCUAUAGACAAUUGCCCGUGCGUUGCAACAGGAGUAUAAACAUUUUAGUAGAUUAGCCCCUGACUGCAUAUCUAUUAUUGUAUUAUUGGUUUUGAGAAUCCACGUAUAUUAAUAUAUUGAUACGCUAAUAUCUUAUCAAAUAUUUGUAUGCAAUCGCCAUGAUUUAUCAGCCAUUUUAUUGCUAAGCACUUAUUUGGUAAGAAUUUAAUGACUUGCCAACAAAACAUGUAUUUAUUUUGGUAAGUUAAUAAACAUGAGAUAAUUGAAUGGAUGGGAGAAAAAUCAAAUAUGGGAGGAAAAAAUCAAAAAGAAUAAGGAAAGAGUGGGACGUAUAUAUGGAAGGUUGGACGAAAAGAGGUGAAAUGAGAACCUUACGAUCUUUUUAAGUAUAGGGAUAUUGAUACGCUAAAAUCUUACCAAAUCUUUGUAUGCAAUCGUCAUGAUUUCUUUGUCAUUUUAUUGUUAAGCACUUAUUUGGUAAGAAUUUAAUGACUUGCCAACAAAAUAUGCGUUUAUUUUGGUAAGAUAAUAAACAUGAGACAAUUGAAUGGAUGGGAGAAAAAUCAGAUAUGGAAGGAAAAAAUCAAAGAGGAUAAGGAAAGAGUGGGACGUAUAUAUGAAAAGUUAGACGAAAGAGAGAUGAAAUGGGAAUCUUACGUUCUUUUUAAGUAGUAGAGAUUUAAUGACUUGCCAACAAAAUAUGUAUUUAUUUUGAUAAGUUAAUAAAUAUGAGACAAUUGAAUGGAUGAGAGAAAAAUCAAAUAUGGGUGGAAAAAAUAAAAAAGGAUAAGAAAAGAGUGGGACGUAUAUAUGGAAGGUUGGACGAAAGAAAGGUGAAAUAGGGACCGCGACUGGCCAUCCAUUCUUAGCAAGCCGGCAGAUCGAUGGAGGGGGGGCGGCGGCGGAUCUAUCCCCGGGCGCCCGAGCGUCUGCCCGCUCCUAUUCCCCAAGAACGCGAGCGUCCGCCCAUCCAUAUCCCCCAAAGAACUCCUCUUCAUCCAUUGACGGGAGGCGGGAGGAGCCUGAUUCAGGACUGGCGGCUGGAACGCGAGGGUCUCGUUUCGCCCGGAUCCCAGGUAUGCGCCGUCCCCUUUAUGCCUCCGCUAGAUUCGAUAGUUUCCUCAGAGAAAGAAAGAUUCAUUUCUUUGCCUCCCGAAACUAAAUCCAGUCAUCAUCUUCCCGUUCUAAAUCCGGUAGUUUCCAUUUAUUAGCACGAGCGAGGAAGGAAAAAAUGGUGUGAGGGGCGUUGGUGUAGAGCGCUGGAUUUACGAUUCGACGCUUAUUUGGCCUGAUUCAUUUCAUAAACUUAUGCAUGAAUAUAUCUUUUCCCCCCGGUUCCAGGCGUAUUAUUGCUGAAUGUCGCAGUUCGGCAGAACAUGCCAUACCCAUCUCAUCCAUGGUGCCCGACAGUUACUACAUUUUUAUAUUCAGUUUUGCUAAAGCACAUCUAGAUGUGCUAUAAGUAUUGCACAUUUAAGUCCUAUGUCAUUGAUCUUAUGUUGAGAUUCGUGUAGAUAUUUUUUUUUCUUUUUUCUCUUUCUUUCUAUGCUUAACUCACUCACUUAGAUGUGCAAUAACUAGAGCACAUCCAGAUGCUUUUAUAUUUUAAUACUCCGGCCAUAAUAUGAUUUAUUUAUACCCACUCAAAAACCUAGAUACAAAAAGGUGUGGCUCGCCGUGGUAUUUGUAUUCCCAGAUUAAGCGUAAUCUGGACAUAUCUUAUUGUAUUUGCAUCACUCCAAAAUCAUGAUGUUUUCAAGAAACAUUCAUUUGUGCAUAAUGAAGAUUUUUUUUAAAACUAUGACGAAUUUUAUAGCAAAUUCAAAAACUAUACACCCUAAUGUUUAAAAAUCAAAACUAUGACCCCAUCGGCCUCUCGCGGGCUGAAAAGGGUUUUUCGGCCUGCUGUUGGCCGAAGUGAGCUUUUUAGCCUCCAGUCGGCCGAAAAGUGGUCAGCUGGGCUGAAAAUAGUAACUUCGGCUUACUGUUGACCGAAAAGUGAUCUUCGGCUUCGUGAAGGCCGAAGAGUGCCGGAGCCAUCCAGGCCCUUUGCCUGGCUGCAGCUGCACGUACACUGGCUGGCUUGCUGCCAUAUGCAUGCAGCAGCCUUUACUCGUGGAUAUGGACUCAAUCUCACAUGCAUGCAGCUGCACGUACCUUGUCGUUCCAUCCAUCGAUCUUAUAUGGCAUUAUCUAAUCACGCGAAGCUGGCCGUUGGUGGCUUGGUGCUACUGAUUAUCUAAUCGCAUGUACUAAUGCAUGUCCCAGACGCUCGCCUCGCUGCAGUUACAGACUCGUUGGAAUUGACCCGUCGUUCCAUCCACCCAUCCAUCGAUCUCACAUGGCAUGCAAAGUUUGUACGUCCACCACGUGCCUGUUCAUCUGGUGAUGGAGACGGUACCGCGUGUGCAUGUACUAUCUAUGUAGACUAGUAAUAGUGCUUUGCAUGUGGAUAUACUAUCUACGUAUACUAGUAGCAGUGCAGGAUUAUUGUGCAAGUGCAUGGUCGGUACUAGUAGUGUGUGUUAGAGCAACUCCUACCUGCCGAUCCAAACGGAUAAAAAGUGGCCGUUUGGAUCGGCCGAGCGAGUGCAUGUGUCCGAUUUUUCGUUUGGGUCGACGCAUGCACUCAACGCUCGCAGGACGUUUGAAUCGACGCAUGCACCCAACACUGGCAGGACCAGACCUCCCAAUUGGGAGAGUCGGGCCAUCCGCCGCUGCUCUGCCGUGAGCAGCUCGUGCUGGCCCGAUUAUUAAGAUCAAUCUAGGAGAUGCACAUCUACAAGAAAAGAGUGGUGUCUACAUACCCUUAUAAACCGAAAACGUUAACAAUUUAGAGAUCGUGGUUGGCUUAGUCGGUCGCGGUUUGGGUUUGGGUACGCACUUCAAUCGAAACAGAUACGCGUGAACGAUUUAGGUUGGCCGGUUGGAGUUGCUCUUAUAGCCGCGUACUACAUGCUGCAGGUGAUUAGAUAAUACAGUAGCACCAACGGCCAGCUGCGCGUGAUUAGAUAAUGCCAUGUGAGAUUAAUGGAUGGAACAACAUGUACGUGCAGCAGCAUGCAUAUGAGAUGAGUCCAUAUCCACGAGCAGAGGCUGCUGCAUGCAUAUGGCAGCAAGCCUGCCAACCAGCGUACAUGCAGCUGCAGCGAGGCGUACGGCUCCGGCACUCUUCGGCCUUCACGAAGCCGAAGACCACACUCUUCGGUCUACACAGGGCCGAAGACCACUCUUCCGCCAGCAGUAAGCCGAAGCUGCUAUCUUUGGCCCAACUGGCCACUCUUUGGCUAGCAGGAGGCUGAAGAGCUCACUUCGGCCAACGGUGCACCGAAAAAAUCCUUUUCGGCCAACAGGAGGCCGACGGGAUCAUAGUUUUGAUUUUUAUGUAUUAGGACGCAUAGUUUUCGAAUUUACUAUAAAAUUCAUCGUACUUUCAAAAAAAAAUCCAUAAUGAAUGUUUGUUCCAGAUGAUAUGUGCGGCUACAUCCAAACAUAAGUUUCAGACACCUGAGAUUUUUUUUAAAAUUUCUCACACCAUAUACUUGUUGUGAUAUUCGAUGACCUGGAACAUGCAGGCAUACCUAAAACUGAUGUGAUCGGGCGUUCAAUAUCACCCAUAUACGUUUAUGGAAACUAUUGGCGUAGUAUAAACAUUUGUUAUUAUUCAUGGCAGAAAUAUGGACAUGUUUUUAACAGCUAUUUUUCAAUAUAAUUGCUUAUUUUUCGUUUCUUAACAUGUAGGCCAUGGAUUGCCCACUUUGCAAAAACCCGCCUGCCGUAUGUGGAGAUCUCGAAGGACCAUCCUGCCACAUUUCAGUUCCAACGACAACCUUCUGCACAUUCAGAGCACCGGUUAAAUGUAGAACUCUUCAGGACGGAUAAACAAAAUCGUUGAUUUCUAUACUACAGCUGUUACCCAACAAACACCUUGGCGCAACCAAUGUAAAAAAAAGGCUAACUACAGUGAUGUUCGAUCAUGGAGAUAGGAGGACCAGGAUUCAUGGUCCUGGCUGGCAGAUGUUUAGACAUAUGCAGCUCCAGUGACUAUAUCUAAGUUUGGUAGGCACGGUUUUACUAAUGGAGUAAUGGUCAUCUGUCCCGCCUUGAAAAGUCUGCUCUAAAUAUGAGUAGUUCAUCUCGGAUUUUACUUGCGCAAUAACAUGAUUGGAAAAUAAACACUAAACUUCAACGGCAGCAAUUCGUGAUACAGGAUCACAAAGCAUGUUGUGGGUUCACCAUUGAUAGAUCACACCAUCGCCACCGCUUCCUCCCGGUUGUCCUAUUACACAUCAUGUCCCUGGCACAUGCAAGCAAUUCAUGUGCCUCGCACGUACCAUUUCAGAGUUGAAACCCCUCAGCGCGUCUGCAUCCUAUGCCUUGUACUCCCUCCGUUUCUAAAUAUUUGUCUUUCUAGGCAUUUCAACAAGUGACUACAUACAAGGCCGGCCCUGGGGCAUGGCGAGGAGUGCGGCCGCCUAGGGCCCAGCCCAAGCAGGGGCCCAUCCGUUUGCAUGUCUCUAGUAGAUAUAUAAGCAUAUUAGGAAGAAGAAAAGAUAGAGAAGGUAAAAAGACCAGCCAAGAGACAACCAUUCAGCCAGUCACCUACUCCCGCUGCGCGACCAAGCUAGGAAUUAACUCUGCGGCGAAAAUUUUGGCCAUGAAAUCAGCCAAUCUGCUAAUAUCCUUGAUUAUCGAUCUCAAUUAAUGCCGGAUCUAUGCAGUAUGAGAUGUGUAUCCAUUCCAUGCAACCAAAAAUCCCAUUUAGUUUGGCAAGUAUGAGUCGCAGCAUGCAAUACUCCUUCUCACAAAAUUAAAAAACAUGCAACACUCCUUUAAUUAGGCCCCAUGCAUCAUGCAAUACUCCGAUUCAAACUAAAAAAAGCAUGCAAUACUCCACUAAUUAGGCAUCAUGCAACCAAUGAUUUUUCUCGUUGGAUGAAUCUCGUUGUCGGUUCUUCCGACGGGUCGCAGCCACUACACACCUGCCACAACAUUAUUGGUGAUAGUCGUGGCAGUCAGAGCCGUGCCAAGGCGAGGGUCCAUGGCCGGUGGAGUUCAGAAGUUCGCACAAGGGCCUCUAAGAUGCUAGGGCCGGCCCUGACUACAUACGAAGCAAAAUGAGUGAAUCUACACUCUAAAAUAUGUCUACAUACAUCCGUAUGUAGUAGUCAUUUGAAAUAUCUAAAAAGACAAAUAUUUAGGAACGGAGGGAGUACAUGACACCCAUAUGUCUUGUGCCUUGUACAUGGCACCCACAUGUCUUGUGCCUUGUACAUGGCACGUGACUGUACCAUACUCCACGGUCACAUGAUUGCCAGACAUCUGCAACUGUGCCAGGUACACUAUCCAACCUGAAUCGGCUGCAAAUGUGCACUUAGUCAACUUGGGUGUUCCCAAACCCAUGAUAAGCGGCCGGUGGCACGUCCAACAAUUCCCCUGUGCCAGGCACUUGUUUCAGCAUGAUACUUACCGUGAUCACAAUUUGUCUGAUUUAUGGAUACACGUUUGUUGGUCUAAAUGUCCUAAAGGUAAUAUGUCGCCAACCAUCUGUCAUCGACCUGGAUAUGAAAGUGAAAUUAAGUUAAAUCAAUUCAUUAUUUGAAUAGAAAAGAAGAAAAUUAAAACUAAUAAUGUUCCAUUAUAUAUCUUUUGUCGGAACGCUGUCUACAUCAACGUACUCACCACGUGAAUAUCAUAUCUCGCUUGGUCCAAUGAAUUUCAUGCAGAAGUUCAUGGUGUAAGACCACCUACUACCUUGUGAGCAAAGUGUCCAACACCUUGCGGUCAUGGUGGAGACGUGGCCGGGAAGACCACCUAGUACUACCAAAGUAGCCAGUAGGGAAGGGUGGCGUCGACGGCGGGCGUUCGGCGGCCGUUGCAGCGCCUGCCGGAAUGUGUUGGAGUCAACGUGUGUGAACGACGACUGUAGCUCCCCUGGAACCGAAUGCGGCGACAACCCCUCCGAAAACGCUGGCAGGAACUCCUCCGGAAAGGGGGCGUCUUCCAGCUAUGGCAAGCAAUAGUUGUGAUUUGGCGGGUGGGGUGGGGUGAGGGGAAGGUCUCGUAGAGCAGAGAAAAUGAGGGUCUGUGUCCGUGACGGGCGGGCGAGGGAAGGACAAGGGCGCGCGUCCCGCCAGUCCGCGGGCGUCCACUUUGACGCAAACGCGGCCCAAAUUUGAGCCGGGACUGGGUCGAAAACGGACAUUUGUCUGUUCGCUCACACGCGUUGGGCUGCUUUUUUGUCUGUUUACCCACAAACGGACUCGGCCAGAUCAUUUGGGUUCGUGCCUUGGAGUUUACUUUAGGGCAACUCCAACGCGGUGACCCAAACGACCGAUUUGGUCCGCGUUUUUUCCGCUCGGGUUGCUAGUCUGCCCGUGUCCAUUUUUUCGUUUGGGUCAGCCAUUGCACCCAAUGGAACCGGACGCAUUUUGGAGAUGUCCGCGUCGGCAUUCGGUUGAACACCUGGUGGGCGAGCUCCCGCAUCGCGUCCGCGAGCCUCGCCCCAUCCCCGCGCCGCAGCUCGCCGCGCUCGACCCAUAGCUAGCCGCCACGUAGCCCGCCAUCGCUCGCCCUGCCCCGUAGUGGCCGCCCCGCUCGCCUCCGCACGUGCCCCGCCGUGUUCUCGUGCGCUCGACUAAACCGGGCGCGGCAGGACGAGCGCGGCCAGGAGCGCCAACCGGGCACGACGGAGACGAGGCCGAGCGCGGCGCGGGGGCGGCGACGCCCCGAUGCAUGGGAGGCGAGGCGAGGUCGGCCACCGACGUGGGUGUAUGGUGGCAUCGUGGGGUGGGCAGGGGGAGAGAGAGAGAGAGAGAGAGAGAGAGAGAUAGAGAGAGAUGUGUUUGUGACAGUGGGCCAGGCCUCGCAUACGCUGGACGAAGAGGACACAGAAAACGUCUGGUGUGUGUCCGCCUCCGAUCCAAAUGUGACCUAAAUUUGGGACUAAAAUGGGUCUAAACGGACAUAAAUCAAACACAAAAUGGAAAUGGGUAUUUGCUUUGGACCGGCGCUUUUGUCCGUUUCAACCCAAAUGGAUAUGCACGGACGAAUUGGGUCGGCCCUUGCUCUUAUGUCAUCUCCAACACCGACCCGCAAAUACCUCCUCCCGCCGUCCUACAACCUUUCCCGUGCCUGGACCCUUGCCGUCCUCCACCCCCUGCUCCCAAUCCUCACCACAGGGCCCGAUCCACCGCCGGAGAUGUCGUCUAACCAGACCCAGACCACUGCGAUGGAGACGCAGUCCGCCUCGUUCGUCGGUGUCCCUUCGUCAGUUGUGACUUGCAAGGCAAAGAACGUCGCCCGGAAGUUGCGGCGACGCCAGCAGAGAGCGAGGGAAGCGACUGCAUCGCGCUAACGCCGCGGCUACAAAAAUGUCAUCCACAUGGACGGGCAUUUUCUCGGCGAGGGAGAACUAGAAGGAGGAGAACUACAAGCUCAUGUUGGGUGCGCAAAAGGAAAGGAUGGAGUGGGACCGAAGGAGGGCGGAGAAGAAGCUCGAAUUGUGAGGGAGAAGAUCGAGUUGGAGAAGUAAGAAGCGGUGAUCAAAAGGAAACUCGAGAAGGCCAAGACAUUUGGCGACAUAGAGCUUCAGAAGAAGAAGUUGCAACUCGCGCCGGACGCGGACGAUGCGAGGAUCAUGUUGGCGGACGAAAACCCUCUUGGAUUUUUGUAUGCGAAGAAGUGGCUUGCGGACAAAAUGAAGGAGAUCAAUGACCGUAGGGACUACGAGGCGGUGAGGACGGUUGCAGCACAGAUGCAGGCGAAGGAGACAACCCGGAUGCAGACGAAACAACCAGCUCGGAUGCACGGAGCAGGACGAGCAAAACAUAUUCCGCCUGGAGCACGAUGCAUUCCGCUCGGGGCAGGCGCCCAGCCAGUGAUCCGAGGCCAUCCGUCACGCUUGGACAUCGAUUUCAUUUUGGCAUAUCCGGACUGUUGAACUAUGAUUUGCUUUGCUUUGUUUCAAAAUUUUAAAAUCGAACAAUUUGUAUCGUAUGUGUUAGAGUUGUGUCGAAUAUUAUGUACAAGGUAGGUUACAGUUGGAAUAGGAGUUGUAUUGUGUUUACAUAGGAUAUGGAGUCGUGUCCUAGUAGGACACUUGUAUCCUAGGCCUAUCAUAUAUAGCGGGGUAGACACACGAUGUAACCUAUGCUAACAUAAUAGCACCGGAACGUAGGGGAAGCCGGCGGCUUGUGCCGGUGUCCAGGGCGACCGGGUGUGGUAUUGUAGCGGUGUCAUGGGGAGGAGCGUCCAUAGUCAGGCCCCGGGGAUGUAGCCAUAUCGAUGAACCUCGUUAACAAAUCUCGAUGUCGUGCUCGUGUGAUUGCUUGGUCUUUGAAUGAUUGACGGAGUGCCUCAGAUUUAUUUUAACAAGUGGUAUCAUGAGCAAGGUUGAAAAGGUCCGUGAGGCAAUAGAGUUGAUCGAGCUGGCUAAGCGCUGAUUUUUUUCAUCAUGAAGGCGAUCGUGUAUCAGCGGACGCAAGCGAAUCGAGUCGAGGCCGAAUUCUCGACAAGAUCGGAUAGCAGCAGACGGCGGCGGUUUGCGGCGGAUCGAUCGGCGCGGUGCCUGGAAGCGGCCUAGUUGGGUGCGCGUUGGUUCAACGAUCGUGAGGCCCGCUGAGCAGCGGCCCUGGCAUGAGGCGCCUAUAGCACGUGUGGCUGCUGGUCAACGCAGCUGGAUCAAGAGGAGACUCCGAUGGGGCGCACGGGCUGGACGAGAUUCAGACCGUUGGCAAGCGGCCCACGCGGUUUUUUUUUUCUGUGUUCGUGCUUGGAGAUGGGCUGACGACGCACGAGAUUUGUUUGAAGACAAAAAGGAGACUGAGUCUCCAUGACACGAGAGGCAGAUCACAUCUAGUAGUAAAAAUCCAACGUGAUAUAGCAGUACAUUGGAAAGCUUUAGCCAAAGCAAGCUAGCAUCGGGAGUUGAGGUCAAGGCAAGAGCAAAUUCACGUACAAUCAACUGGUUGAUUUGUUACUGGUAGUACACAAGUUCUGUACUUGAGCAUCGCGUGGGAAGCUCGGACAUUUUCUUUUCACAUUGUCAGCUAUAUGAAGAACCACGGUGUCAUCGGAUACUAGGUUUGAGGUGGAGAAGUUUACGAAACUGGAAACCUUGUGUUAUGGCAGACACGGGUGAAAGAUUUGUUGGCAUAACAGGGAUGCUUGAAGGCGUUGCGGGAAGUCAGGACAGCUGAUAUGGAAGUAUCAUGCGAUGGAUGGGAAUUCGUGGAAGACGGAAUGGAAGCCUCAAGCGUGUCGUACAGUCGAACGAGAUCGGCUGGGUCGGACUGGAUAGUCUGAUGGAUCGACGCAAGUCGGUUGGUACAGAAGACGGCGGUGGGAUCGGCAAUGACGACAUAGGAGCGUGAUGCUGAUGGUGACUGACUUCUGGGUGUGGAAACACGUGACGCAGGCCCUGAGGGCUUGUGUGGCUUCGACAAGACUAUGGCGCGGGGUUGAAUCAAGGUGAUGUACACACAGAGUUGAUGUCGAUGGGGCGCGGGGUGGACUGAUCCUCUACCAUGGAGUCAUGUUGAAGGUGGAGCUGGAUUGAGGGGCUACGGCGUAAGUCGACAGAGAGUCGAAGUCUAUUCAGCUGGGAAAAGCGAAUUUGACUCGGGAUGACUAUAAGCAACGGUGAAAUUCCUACAAGUUUCAGACAGGCGGUCAAGAAAGGAGCGGUGAUGUUGAGUUCAGGUAACUCUUAUGUGUGACACCCAAUAUGUGAGUUGUUCAUUUUCACGCAGGUCAGUGAUCAGUGUGUGAUGGCUUUGGACUGAUACUCUGGAAGUUGGGAGCACAAACUAGAGUAAUAAAGAACUUAAUUUUUGCUCGAGUGUUGACUGUGAUCAUGAAAAGAAGGGACUACAAGUUGCAGGUGGAGUCAUAUGGAGUCUUUGGAGUAGCAGCGGUACUUAUGGGAUAAGCUCAAGUCCAAUGUACAUGGAAGUUUGACGCAUUGACGAAUUUAAGGUGGUGGAGAAUAUUCGCCAAGGUGGAGUUUGUUAGAGUUGUGUCGAAUAUUAUGUACAAGAUAGGUCAGUUGGACUAGGAGUUGUAUUGUGUUUACAUAGGAUAUGGAGUCGUGUCCUAGUAGGACACUUGUAUCCUAGGCCUCUCAUAUAUAGCGGGGUAGACACACGAUGUAACCUAUGCCAACAUAAUAGCACCGGAACGCAGGGGAAGCCGGCGGCUUGUGCCGGUGUCCAGGGCGACCGGGUGCGGUAUUGUAGCGGUGUCAUGGGGAGGAGCGCCCAUAGUCAGGUCCCGGGGAUGUAGCCAUAUCGGUGAACCUCGUUAACAAAUCUCGGUGUCGUGCUCGUGUGAUUGCUUGAUCCUCGGAUGAUCGACAGAGUGCCUCGGAUUUAUUCUAACAGUACAAUCGACAUGCAUGGAUUGCAUGAAUUUAAGAAUCCGGAUUUGAGGUAUAUGGAUGCGCAGUGCAACAUAUGAAGGACCUGCAGGACUGUCCGCGAGUGUGCCCGACGCGCCCGUGGAUCGGAUUUGCCAAAUCCUACUGUAAAUGCUCUUACACAUUAUUUACAUUUACAUAGAAAACCAGCAAUGCUGGAUGUUUCAAAAAAACAUUUACAUGGACAUGCACUUAUUCACUUGAUUUAAGCAGCACACAUGUACCCACCGAGAAUUAAGAAGAACUAGAGGCUGGGGCGCGCCCUAGCGCGCCUCUUGUGCGAUCCUGUGCGUACUUGCCUUGAUGGUGGAGUUGCGAACGUGCAUAUGCGUUUUAGAGUACCUCAAUUGUUAAAAUAUGAAUACAAUUAACACAAGCUUAGAAGAAAAGUGUUCGAUCAUCAUACAUAUAAGAGGUAGUAGGUGCAUAUUAUAAGAUAGGCCAGAGUCUUACAAGGUGGAUGAUAGAGCACAGCAUUGAGAUAAGCUAAAGAUGAUAGAUGGUUCAUAUAUAUCCUGCUGAUGACCUUAUGCCUAGAGACGAUGCGAUGGACGGUGAGGGAGAGACGAUGUGAUGACCUUAUGCCUUUCCUUGCGCUUGAAAUAGAAGGCGCGGAUGUCGCCCUCCUGGAUGUUAGCGUGGUGACGAAACAAUGAUCAAUCUGUUGUGAUGGUGGCCUUCUUGCCGGUUUCAAGCAUGAAGCGAUUGUCGUAGUUCACGGUGCCGGCUGCGAGCUUCAGUGGAAGGGUGUCAUCAUUUCCGUCAAUGUACUUCCGCCCUCUGUGUACUCUACCUGAAAAUACUAUCAAGACAAAGAGAAGCACUUAAUUGAUGGCAAGACUUCUUCUGAAAUAUUAGACAUGUACAACUCAUCUGAUCCCCUUUGGCCGGGAGCCAUGAGUCAAAGAUUUUGAAACUGCAAGAGUACGACACACGAUGCAGAGAGCUAGCCAUUCAUGUAAUUAAUACCGAAGCAAAAAUCUUAAUCAACGACCAAACUAAAAUAAUACUCCCUCCGUUCCGAAAUAUUAGUCUUUUCUGAGAUUCCAAAUGGGGACUACAUACGCAACAAAAUGAGUGAAUCUACAUUCGACAAUAUGUGUAUAUACAUCCAUGUGUAGUCCUUAUUAAAAUAUCUAAAAAGACUUAUAUUUAGGAAAGGAGGAGUAUAAUCUGGACUAAUCCAAAAGCCAAUGAGAUAAAUCAUAGACUAAAUGAAACUAAUGAUCGAACUACAAAGAGCAGAUAUAACCUUGUAAUGCCUGAAAAGUGUAUCUGAAUGUUAUGAUAGAAGUGUCCAUGAGAAUAGAGUUGAAGCUAUACCUGAUGGGUUGCACCCCCGUUUAGUGUGACUCGAGGUGCCGUAGCGCGUUCCUACCUGCGACGGGUGCGGUUCUUGCAGAUAUGGUUGCCGCGUAGCGCCGCCGACAUGGCCAUCUUUUUACACGAGGAUUAAGAAAAGGCUUAAAGUUUGGAUAAAAAUAAUAUUAGUUCAUGAAACAAUUCUAGAUAUUAACCACCACAAGCAUGUCAAACCUUGACAAACCCAAUUGAAACAGUUGUUCUAGAGAUAGAAAAGGAAAACAUCAAUGGCAUAAAGCGGGCGACUAGAGGAACGCUGAACUGCGCGACAGUAUAGAAAUAGCCAUAUAAUCACCAUCCUUAAGUUGGUAUACAUAAUCAAGUUCUUGAAAAAUCUCUUCAAUUUGUGUUUGUACCCUGAAUCUCUGGUCAAGUCAUAAUCCAGUGAAACAUUUCUAGAUCCCCAGAAAGUACUUUUCUUCUAGUAUGCUACUAUCUUGAAUCAGAUGGUCUAAUUCAGGUGAUAUUGAUAAACUACAACACAUUAAUUUCAUAAUAAGAAUGCAACUGACUGUAGGAACCGAAUUGCAGGAAACGGGAGACAAAUCAGAGGAACGAAAAUUUAUAACAAAACACCAACAAAAUUUGUCCGAGAGUCACGAAUCAAAGAUUUUAAAACAGCAAGUCUACACACAAACCAAAUUUCUAGAUCUCCAUGUAAUGAACUGAUGUAAAGAAAUUUGUAAAACACGAGCCUAUGCACAACCCAUCUCACCCCCUUUGGCCGAGAGGCACGAAUCAAAGAAUAGUAAUGUCAAAUAUCCCCUCAUGUCUGAUAAUUUUUUACUGGCAUGGGUGUAUGUGUCAAUGAUACCCUCAAUGUUUGCAUCAUGCAAAAGAACUGUAUAAUGUGAAGCUGGAAUUUGAAGUACGAAAAAAUGCAUUCUUAUAGAGCAGAUGUAAUUUGAAGCUGGAAUGUAUAAAAAGUGCACUCAAACAGAUUUCAUUGCAAAUAAAAAAACAUGCUUGAGAUUUGAACCCUGCCCCGCUAUGAAUAGGACAAACUACUCAACUCAGUUUCUAGAAUUAUCAUAUAAAAAUCUCAUGCUGGAUAAAACAAAUCGCGCAUCAUUUUGCUAAUUAGUGGACCAUCAUGCAUGAGCUUUCCGCUCAUGCUAGCGAUAGUUUUGCGUCUCUUUCUUUGGAUUGUAAUGAACAUUAUAGUUAACCAAUAAAGGUCCAUAUUUUCCUUAGAAACAUUAGUGCACUGAAUAAAUGUAGGCAAGAGUAGCUAAUACCUGGCUGCAAUUGGAGCAUCAGUAGUUCCAACUUAUCGUGCAGUACCAAGCAGAGGCCAUCAAUCAGCCAUCACCCAUGGGAUCGGACUAAGUUUGGAAUACCUAGGAAAACAUAUUGCUUUAUGAGUGAUGUGAUGCUAUGUAACUUUAAUAGGGCAAAGGCAGGGAAGAUAUGUUCUCAUGUGAAAUAGAAAUCGGCCUAUUGUUGAUGGUAUUAAAUUAGAAACAAGUAAACUACAAAUUCCGAUACAACAAGAAUUUCGGACCUGAACAACAGACGAUAUAGAUGGCAUAUAGUGCAAACAUUUUCUUGACAUAACAUCUAGAGUUCCACAGUAAACAGGAAGUAGAAAUCCAUGAAAUUCAAAAUACGAACGAAAGCACGACCUGCUGCGCGUUGCCCGCAAAAGCGGUGGGCCAUUGGAAUAGACAGCCAACUUGAAUGUCGAUAGGAUCUAAACAGUAUAUACAUAGGUAACUACAUUCAUAGGUGAUUUUUCUUAACCUGGGUCGUCACAAAUCGUAACUGAUAAGGAGAGAAGUUGAUUGCAUACAUGUAGGUUCAAAGUGAGAUGGAUCACAAAUUUAUUAUGAUAAGUUCAAAUGUUUGGAGAAGUAUGAUCUAAACCCAUUGGCCCCCUUUUUAGCAGCACAAAAUCGACAGUAAAUCCUCAAGCAGUUUGCACGACUGUAAUAACGUCAAGUAGCUACAAGAGUUUUGUUCCCGCAAAAAAAAGAAUUGUCAUUUGUCAAAGCGUUUAGACACUAACCAUGUUAUUUGAGAUGGAAAAUUUCCUUCGUAGGUGUAUAGGAAAGGAUCUUUGAGAGUACCUGGUAAGAUACAAUUUUCUAGAAGCAAAAAGCCGCCAAAGCGGUGGGCAAACAUGAUGGGUACCGCAAUGAUGAGUGUCUGGCACUCCGAAACGGGUUGCGUUAUAGCAUCGAUCAUUCAAUUUUUCAAUAUCCACCCACACCACAACAAAUUAGUAUAGCAUGCUCAAAAUUAAUCUAUCUGUAGCUGGACUUGAAGAACUGUUGAUGAACUUAAAGAAAAAAUGAAUAGAAUUAAAAUGUAUUAAUUCAAAAACGACAUGAAACAUCAUUGAUGAACUUUGUAUGUACCUAAGGGAAACAUAAAUGGGUAGUCCAGCAAAGCAUAGUGUGGAUAAAUAGACCAGCAAAGCAAAGCAUAGCAGUAAUCUGAAAAACAGACCGACAACCAUACUCAAUUGUAGAUAAAUACUACAGCAGCACAUACUUUUUAUAGUAUACUGAAUUUAGUAACCUGGGUAGGUAGCUACAAAUUUGGAUUCUGACCUCCCUCAAAUUACCAUCUCUUAUUGUAUCAUACCAAGGCUUCCUCACAUGGCAUCACAUAUGAAGUGCCCAUUACUAACUUGUAUUCUUUGUCCUGUUUAUAUAUUUCCAGUACCUAAAAAUGAGGAAGCUACAUCAAUCUUUUAUUGCACCAAACCUUCCUCAUACAACAUCAAGAAUAUCAAACCCCGAAAAGUCAAGAUAAACAUGCAUGUUAGCAUGUAUUCCAGUUUUCACUGAUCAUAUUUAAGAUCAUGUGGCAUGUCUCACCAUUAAGCACAGAAGCUUGAGACACGAUGAAGUACAUUAUAUAGUAAGACAUGAUCUAGCCCAGCUAUGUGAUGAGCAUAACCACUUCAAAAUAUAGGAAUCUGUUUGAAAAACUUCUAAUCUGAUUUGGUGGCAACUCUGGCUGCAGCGGCAAGUGCCCAUGCACCUGAUAAAAUAUAAACCUUGUAAUUAAUUUACAGGAAAAUAUGAAAGGAAGCAAAGAAAUUAGGAAGUAUACUAAGGGAUGCAAUAAAACAUCACGCAUCUCACGGUCAGAUAUGAACAUAGUGUCAAGUCAACUAAUUUUUCAGUCUAGAGAAGUAAAAUUCUUGCUAAUGAAAAAACUCUGCAAUGCACGAGCUGCAUGGAAGAUGCAAAACACAAUUAAGCAUACCUGAUAGUUGUGUAAGGAAAGCAUUACACAAAACCUACAUAUCCAACGGUAAAAAAUAAACCUCAAGUGAUGAAUUAAUUAGUGAGCAAACUACAUGAUGUAUCAUAUCCUCUGCUCUGAAGAUAUAUGGGUGCAACAAGCACUGAAGAGUUGUAACAUGUACCGCACCUAUAAUAAGAUUAGUAGCUCUCCUUUACAAUUUACAACUGAUGUCCACCAUGACAUGCAAAUUAUCCGACAAUAGCUAAUCUUUGGCAAAGAAGAAAAUUCUCUUCUGAAAUAUCAAUUGAACCAUAUGACCCAAUUUCAGGAUGUGAAAAAUCUAGGUAAAACAGAAAUUUAUGAUACAGUCUAUAGAUAACAAUACAUAUGGAUUUUAGUGCCCUAUAUACCAGUAGACAUGACCAUGAGCACAGAUUAAAAGCCAAAAGGCAUGAAAAGGCGUCAAAUAUUUACCAUAGAAAAACAAAACUGGGAAUGUCGAAAAGGCCGUAGACAGAGUAUACAGAUAUAACGACACAGUAAGAUCAAUAACAUGAUGUAAUAGUGGCUAUGAUUUGUUUCUGGUAAAACCAUCACAGAGAAACAAAAUUGUUGGACAAACAACCCUCUGUUUUUAUGUGUGGCUGGACAAACAACCAUAUGUUUUCAUGUGUAACAAUAACACUAAUUUCAACUCAAACGUUGGAAAUUCAGAUCAUGGCACCCUUUCAUGCACAAAAGAACGAGACCACCAACAUUUCGAUGCACAAAGGAACAAUAAUCGUAGGCCCUACCUGGAUCCAGACAAAAAACAAAAAGCAUAAAUUUAACACCCACGCUAAAAACAAGCCAACAUGGAUACAAGGGAGCUACGAGAAUCCAAUGCACAGAGAAUAGUACUUUUGGCUUUUACCAAAAAAGAAAGCCCUCAUUGGCCAACCUGCACAUCAAUACACACAACAACCAGGACAAGCAGAACAUACUGAAUCCCAAAAACAAAUUGCCAUACAGCCGCACACCUAGCUAUAUAUGGAAAAGAAUAUGAGUGGAAAGGGGGAGGAGAAGAGGGGUUGACCUGUCGAUCCAUGAACGGAGACGCAGGAGGGUGCUUAUAAAGGAUGUGCAGGCAGAGAUCAAGGGAGGCACAUCCAGGGGACCGACCAAGAGGAAGAGAAUCCGCUCAAAUUGGACCAAUCUGUAGGGAAAAUGAAAAAAAUCUCAUAUGAGUAGCAACCAAUGAACAGGAAUGUCCAACCACAACUGGGAGCAGCCAUCGCAUUUGAGGUGAAGACCAACUUCAGAAACGAGGGGGCAUCUUCUUCCUCCCCCGUGGCCUCCUGCCCUCUCUCCCACGACCUCCAUGGCCUCCUCUUCUUCCUCCCCCAUGAAUUCCAUGCCCUCUUCUCCUUCCUCCCCCACGACCUCAUCUCCUUCCUGUGAGAGGUUAGGGUUAGAUGUGCGGGCGCGCCUGGGGGCGUACAACAGCGGCUAGGGCAGCAAACCGGUAGAGUGAGGCGAGGAGGAGCCUUGCCUAUUGAUGGCGGCGUCGGAGAUGGUCGUGCCCAGGAGGAACGGACGUGGCGGUGGCGGCGGCGAUUUUUGGAGAGAGAGGGAGUCGGGAGAGCAAGAGGAGAAAGGGGAUGGAGGGAGCUGCCUAUCUGAGACUGCGAUCGAUCUCUUUUAAUUUUUUUAUCUCUCCCUUCGGCACAACACAGUAAAAGUGAUGACCUGAAUAGCCCCAGCUUUUAUCUCUCCCUUCGGCACAACACAGUAAAAGUGAUGACCUGAAUAGCCCCAGCUUUUAUCUCUCCCUUCGGCACAACACAGUAAAAAUAAUGAGUUUUAUUGGUCACCCCGUGACCAACUGUGCUGCAUGGGAUGGUUUUGCAUGGAAUCCACUUUACCUGUCCGCGUGCUGCACAGUGCACACUGCAAAAGUCGAUACGUCUAGUCCGGGUAUCUAAUCAGGUGAGUAGAUCUUUUGUGCCAAGGGAUUAAGGGCCAGUUCUUUUGGACAAUUCUCCCAGAAUUGACCCCCUCCCCAGCUUCUCCCAGAAUUGCCACUCCAUCUUUUUUUACAAUUCCUAACUAGUUAAGGUCUAAUUAGCUAGGAAUUGCAAAAAAAGAUGGAGUGGCAAUUCUGGGAGAAGCUGGGAAGGAAGUCAAUUUUGGAAGAAUUACCCAAAAGAACUGGCUCCGGCAAUGGUCCAGUCGUAGGUUGUAGUAGACGCCACGACGCAGAUGAAACGCAGAGUCACGGGCCGCCUCCUGUAGUGUCCGAUAGCGGCUGUCUUUAUCUCGGUGUACAGUGCCCUAUGCUAUGUACUAUGUAGGUAGGUGGAUCACGUCCAGGGUCACACCUAACGCACGCGAUAUAACCGGUGGCGUGUGAAUCUUACGGAAACAGCUGGCCCAUAUCCCCAUGUAUAUGGACGUACCAGAUAAGCGGGCCGGGGUGCAGGAGUUUUAAUAUAUAUUUUCGGACUAGAAAGGCAGGCUCUUGUCUUGCCUCUGAUCCUCCCGGUCGCGCGAGUUCCUUGGAAUGGAACACCUCCCAGAGCCCCUCUACGACACCGCCGACGGAAAGAUACACCUUUCUUCAACCCCUCGUGUUUCACUACCAGAUAAUCGGGGUCCAAUUCCAUAGUUGAUUGCCACAUGGAAACCCGCAUAAACCCCGCUCCUAGCAGCUUACUCUCCAUCAGCUGCAGCUUCAGCUUCAGGUUCAGACGUUCAGUACUGCACUAGUGCGUGGAGUGUAGAAAAUGGUGGUGUGGGCCGUCCUGGUGUACCUUGCCACGGUACGCCAUGAUGCUCAUCGCCCUGGCAGUGCGAGGCUGAAUGCGCCAAGCUCGAGGAGUGCGCAGGCAGGCUCCACGCGCUGCUGGACAUGGCGCGCGACAGCGGGAGCACGCUCAAAAAUGGGAGCGCGCGCUGGACAUGGCGACAGCGGGCAGCGGGCAGGCUCCACGCGCUGCUGGAGCGGGAGCACGCGGCCGGCCUCGUACAGCGGGAGCGCGCGGCGGGCCUCGUGGCCUCGUACAGCGGGAGCACGCUCUGGCGCCGCGUCCGGACCGGCAGGAGCAUGGAGACGCGGCUCCGGGACAUGCGCAAUCGCGUGAACUGCCUGUGCGCGCUCGUGCUCUGCGUGCACACCAAUCUCCUCACGGCGACGGAUACUUUUGAUACUACGUGAGAUGUUCGAUCCAUCUGUUUAUAUCCACGUCCAUCAGCAGUUCACAGAUUGUCUAUGUUUAAUUGCUAAUAACUGGUGCAAGAGCCAUCAUUCAUUACACGGCGCAGAAACCUCAGAUACUUCCGACAGUCAAAGGUACGGCAGUAUUGGUCAGGGAGGAGCAGACGACACCGAAGCAGGAGGAUUUGAAUCCGUGUGACUUCGCUUUGCAAACACAUUUUUCUUUUUUGUUUCUCUCACAUAAAACAUGUUUUGAAGUUCAAACCUUUGCAGCGUGGCAAAGCUUUCUAUCUAGAAUCUAGGAUAAAUCUUUCAGAUUUUUUGGUCAAAAAUAAAUAUACAAAAAAUGUUUUUUUAGAUUUAAAAAUCUGAAAGAUUUAUCUUAGAUUCUAGAUAGAAAGCUUUGCCACGCUGCAAAGGUUUGAACUUCAAAACAUGUUUUAUGCGAGAGAAACAAAAAAGAGAAAAUUUCAGAUAGAAAGUUAGUUGUGUUGCACAGAUCUUAAAGCAAUAUUGGAUAGCUAGGAUAGCAUGGCCCGGGUGCAGAUGUUCUAAAAAUCCACGUCCGGGAAUCCAUCCUUGGGCAUAGAAACACAGGAAUUUCUGUUUAUGAUGAGAUCACCCUUUUAGCUCAAGCUCUACCAGCACCCGUUGCAAUGAAAAUCAUAAUCAUGGGAUGUUGGGACAUUUGGAUUCAGUGAAAUGGGAAGAUCUUCAGAUUGCAGCCACACUCGAUUUAGUCCUCGAGAAGACUGUUCAAAAAUGAUUUGUUUCUUCUCAAGCACAGAAUUAAGAAUAAAUUUAAAGCUCAACUUUCUAGUUGAAUUGAUCGGUCCUUUUAGCUAAGACUGCUAUAUCAUGCCGGGCUUCACUGGAGCAGGGAUUGGAUAGACGUUUUUUCUUUUCUUUCCUUUGGUUGUAUUUAUCUGUACAUAUUAAACCUUUUAUUUUAAUACAUAUACCGUAGAAUGAUUGUUCUACGGGUUUCACUAGAGCAGGGAUUGAUGUACAUAUCCUACAUCAAUGCAGGCAAGAGUUUAGUAGUUAAAUCAAUAAAUGAAGUGAGCUUAGCUACAACAAACUAAACACUUAUGUAUUAGGGGCUUUAGUUACUAAACUUUUUAAUGUACUUAGCACCUCAUCUAAACACCUGUGCAUUGGAAGAGGCGUUAGUGUGCUAGAUGCCUCUCGGCAGCCUCCUCCGACACUGAUACGUUGACCUUCGUCUUCUCCAAGUGCCGCCUUCGACCGCCUCCUCGCCACCGUCGGCCACGAAGCUGGAGGACGCAGGAGCACGACCACCGUGCACCACCGUGCUAUACGUCUCGGCCACAGUGGCAUGGUCGAGGACGUGGACAUCUUUGCGGUGCCGGUGCAGUGGCCGAGGGAAGCAGCACCAUUGCCAUCCCAGCGCAACCUAGGAUAUCCAAUAACUAGGUCAUCCUAACUGAAUUUUGAACAAACGUAAGCACCAUCAGAAAACUUAUUUGAAAUUUGGACCAUUUAAAAACACCAAAGUAAUUGGAGUUUAUGUUACACAUAGUGGUGCGGCGCCACAUAUUUUGAAGAUAUAGUUCUAUGUGGCGCCAAACUCAUUGACUCAAGAGCUCUCCAUGAUAUAGUUCUUGGGAUACAAUCUAUGAUCAUCUUGUCAUUCAAGAUAGCAAUUUUACUUACACUGCUUUGGUUAAAGACCUUUGGUUCCCUAACCAGAAACAUUGGAAUGCUCAUCUCAUUGCCUCAUAAUUAUGGAAACAACAAAAAUUAUUAAACAUGUACCUAUCAUUCAUACAGAUGAUGAUGAUCUCUUAUGCUGGAAACUAACUCCUACAGGGAAAUUUACCUCGAAAAGUGCAUAUAAACUUUGUUUACAGGUCAUGCAUCAGGAAGGGGAGCCACAAACUAGAGCCAUCUCCAACAGCAUAAAAUUGCUUUUGAAACAGGUUUGGAAGACAGAAGACAUGGCUCCAAGAAUUAAAACCUUUGCAUGGAGACCACUCAGGAAAGCACUCCCAUAAGGUAAAAGAGCAGGUAAAUACUUUAAGCAUAUAGGUCAGCUUUGCAGUAGAUGUGGUAUGGAAGAAGACAAUUUGCACACUUUUUUUUCAAGUGUCCUAUUGAUCUAUUAAUACACAAUGAUGAUUCUUUAGUCACUGUUAUUUUAAAAAUUCAAAGCUCUAAUCACCCACAUGCUACAUUAAGUAAUAUACUUGCAGGUACAGCAAAACAAAGGCAUGAUACAAGCAACAAUCUCAGCCACUGCAACACAAGCCACUUCACCCCUACAAGCAGAAGGGAAAGGCCUUAAGCUAGCAGCAAUUAUUCUAAAUAAAAUGAAGGUACAGGAGGCAGCAGUAUUCAUAGACAACAGCACACUCGCCACAGCAGCGGCGGCCAGAUCUCCACCAUCACACCCUGUGAAUUGGCAAAUCAGGGAAUUCAUUCCAGACUUUUGUGAGAUUACAGGCCCAAAGGAGAUUAAGGUUUUCCACACUCAGCAAAGAACAUGAAGCAGCAAAAUUAGCUAGGUUCUAUAACAAUACAACUCCUUAUGGUUCUAGGUUUAAAUGUUCCAAUGACGAAGUUCUAGGUUUAAAUAUUCCAAUGAGGAUCACUCAUUCACUCUGAUAGGCAUUGUCCUCUAAUACAGACUUUGACAGAAGUAUUUUCACAGGGAUAUGCCAUCACUCGUGUAAACUGUUUUAAGAGAAAUGAAAUGGCGCCUGGCACACUCUGGUUUGUUCAAAAAAUAAAGUCAGUUUAACGGAGUUUGGGUAUGCAUGUCUAGACAAGGUAUAUUAAAAUAACUAGGUGAUACCCCGCGCGUUGCUGCGGGAUCUCUUAGCCAUAUGCAAUGACAAUAUAUAAACAAAAUAACUUUGUAAAUUUAUAAGCUACAGUAACAAAUGAAAAAAUAAUGAAAAUUUGUAUCGUUUAGGAUCUCCAACAUGAUGAAUUCUUUUGUUCAAACCUCGGACAAUAGGCAUAUUCUGAAUUUUUAUUUCAGCAAAUGAAAACUGGGCACAACUAACAUGGAGUCGGGCAUUCAGAUACUGCACAAAAAUUACAGUAUUUGUGCUAAUUUGAGCUGUGUAACUUCCCAUAUAUCCCGACCAUCGUCCUUAUGAUCUUUCAUAGGUAUACCAAAGGAAGUUUAUCCCUCCAAUAUAGUAGGGCCGGUAACAUGAUACUAACUGAUUAGCAAAGGAUCCAUACUAUGUACGUGUCAGGAAAAAUAUUUACCUAAAACAACAUCAUAUUUGGAUUCAGAACAGAGAUACUUGAGCAGAGGAGGACAGGAAGAUCAACAACCCAGCAGGGCUUUUAGUGAACGGAGAUGAGUGGCAACUACAACAAUUAUAUAAAAUAAAAGGGUUGAAACUUAAACUGAGUAUAUACCACAGCAUAGAUUACCCAUGUUGCUGGUGAUAUGUUCAAAUAUAGCUACCUGGCUCCAUAAAGCAGCAAAACGAUUUAUGUCAUCUUCGUACAUUCCUUGUACUUUGUUUGAACAUCCGAAGAACCGCUUUCAAUAUCUUCUGCAUACUGCAAGGAGAAACAUAAAAAGAUCAAAUGCUAGACAAUGUGAAGUCCAUCAUAAGGAUUUAUAGUAAACCUUCUUUAGUCCUCUAGAAGCAAAGUUCUCAUGAUCGUUGUCCUGACCGUAUUAAAUCUUUCUGUAUAACUGAACAAUGCAUUUCGUACUUUAAUCUUCUCAGGGCCGGCCCUGUGCUUUGGGAGGCCCUAGGCGAACUCGGCGACAUGGGCCCCUAUGUAACUUUCAACCAUACAUCUUUAGUUUAAAAUUUGACUACAAUAAUUUAACUGACUCCAUCGACAACAAUAAUAACUAAAUUUGAACCGGCUCCAUCGACGACAAUAAUACCAAAAGGAUAGCAAAAUGAAACUAACAUGACAUGAUUACCUCAAAUAAGAACCAAAUUCGACUGACUCCAUCGACAAUAAUAAUUCUUCAGUGCUUCAGAAAAAGUUUCUUUGGACGUUUCUUGAUGCAAAGUCAAUAAGGGCACAAUCAAGAUCAAUAUUGUCCAAGAUAUCCUUCUCAAUGCAGCACAUAGCCAAGCCAUUUAACCUAUCUUGCAACAUAGUUGACCUCAAAUAACUUUUCAGUAGUUUCAGUUUAGAGAAACUUCUUUCAGCUAAGGCUAUAGUCACAUGCACUCUUAAGAAGAUCUGAUAGGCAACAAAGACAUUUGGAUAGCAAUCUACAACCAUAACAAACUGAAGAAUCUCAAGCGCUGACAUCAAACCAUCUGGCAAAGUUACCUGCAACACUUUGAACUCAGAGACAAAAUCAUGAAGAUCAACAUGAGAUGAGUUAUCAUCAGAAAAAGCUUUUGCAAAAGUAGUGCAACAUUCACGUAGACUGCUAUCAUCCAAGGACUUCGUAUUUUUUUGAAUUGAAUAAGAAACCAAACACCUUUUCAAAUUUCUUCAACUGAUCAAAGCGACUAAUCAAUGAAAGAAUUGCACUGUCAACGAUGUAAAGUACUUAUUCAAAGAACCAAUCAGUGGUUGAAGUUUCAGAUCACUUUCUUUCUUUUUUCUCCUUUUUUCAGCACCCAACAAUUGCUUCUUCUUUGGCAACAUGACAGGAUAAUGUCCUAAAAUCAUGAAGAAAAGAGGGUACAAAGAAUUAAGAAUUUAUAUAUCGGAUGAUUGGAACCCUAGACAUACAUGGAUGGAUAGUUGAAUACGUACAUAGUAAAUAAAAACUAAAGUAUACUACUGAAAUUGUCAAAUUGGGAUUUGGGGGGAUGGAUCAGGUCAUCAGGAACAUGGUGUCACAUCCCUAGCUGCUGGUAGUGCUCUAGGCUAGCUUCAUGUGUGCAUCAUGUCUAUAUUUUCGAAACUUGAACUGAGGAAUUUUGGAAGCCUCAAAAACUUAAAUAAAAGAGGGGCAAAAACCCUGGAAGUCUCAUUCAUUGCUCCAAAAAUGCCCUUUUUAAAUGUUUGAUGAUUUUUGGUAAGGGUUCUGGUCCCAACCAAAAUAUUGAACAUUUUUAAGGAAUUAUUUUUGGGACUUUGGAUUUAAUUCAUUAGCUAUUUGAAUUUGAAUUAUAUUCAUAUAAUUAGAAUAUAAUUUCAAAUACCCCAGAAAUAUUUUAUAAGCUUUUGGAAAAGUCCAUCUAGCAAUAUAAAAUAUUCAGAGGAGCUUUGGCAUUGUUUGAAUUAUUAUUUUUAAUUCAAAACAGUGGCAAAAGAAUUAAAUAAAACAAAACAGAGAGAAAAAAAUAAAAAGAGCAAAGUUACCUGGCCUUACCGUGCAGCCCACCAGAGCCUGGCCCAGCUCCAUCUGGCCGGCCCAGCCGGCCCAGCCCACCUCCUCCCCCUUGUCCUCUUCCUCCUCUGCCAGGAGGACGAACAGAGGCGAGGCGUGGCGCGCGCCCGAGAGGCCUCGGCCACCUCCUGCUUCCCCCCCUGGCCACCUCCUGCCUGGUUGCCUCCCUCCUCGACGCCCGGAGACGCCACGCACUCCCCCUCGCCCCCUGCACCUCUCCUCUCCCCCCCUGGACCCCAUUCNNNNNNNNNNNNNNNNNNNNNNNNNNNNNNNNNNNNNNNNNNNNNNNNNNNNNNNNNNNNNNNNNNNNNNNNNNNNNNNNNNNNNNNNNNNNNNNNNNNNNNNNNNNNNNNNNNNNNNNNNNNNNNNNNNNNNNNNNNNNNNNNNNNNNNNNNNNNNNNNNNNNNNNNNNNNNNNNNNNNNNNNNNNNNNNNNNNNNNNNNNNNNNNNNNNNNNNNNNNNNNNNNNNNNNNNNNNNNNNNNNNNNNNNNNNNNNNNNNNNNNNNNNNNNNNNNNNNNNNNNNNNNNNNNNNNNNNNNNNNNNNNNNNNNNNNNNNNNNNNNNNNNNNNNNNNNNNNNNNNNNNNNNNNNNNNNNNNNNNNNNNNNNNNNNNNNNNNNNNNNNNNNNNNNNNNNNNNNNCUCGCGCACACCACCGAGCGGAGCUCGCCGUCAUCGUCGCCGUACCCAUGGCCACCGGCCACCCCUAGCCUCCCUGACGCCUCCCAAAGCUCUGCCUCGACCUACUCUUCCUCCCCACCCCUCCAAGCAACACCCGGAGCCCUGUAGCCACGCCAUCACCGCCAUCUUCAUCGCCACGGCCGGCAAUCGCCGCCGUUCGAUUCGCCGCCGACAGGACGUCCCCGAGCCCACCCAACGUCUCGUCCGACUCCCCGUGAGCUCCUCUUCUCUUCCCCUCACUCCCCGCACCUGAUUUCGUCCCCUAGCUCCAUCUUCCACCACGGCCGAAGCUCGCCGCCGCCGUGCCUCGUCGCCGUCGUGGCCAGAGCUACUGUGGCUCGAAGCCGGGCACACCAUCGUGCUCCACACCUCACCAGGAGCACGUAGCACGCACCAACGCCUCCCCUAGCGCCCUGCAUCGCCUAAACCGCCGUUGGCCGAACUCCGGCCGCCGCUCACGAGCUCGCCGUCGUCGGUACCGGCCACCACAGGCACGGCCACCACCACCAUUCGAUGCGCACCAGCAAGGGCUCUCCAACGAGCCCAAGCACAGCCUCGCCCGUGCCCUGUAGCGCGUUUCCGGCUCGCGCCGCCGUCUCGGGCCUCGCCGGCGUCAUGUCGCCGGUGGGUUUGACCCCACUGACCCGAGAUUUGACCCUGCUAAUUAACCCUGUGACACUGACAGCAGGGCCCCACCUGCUAAUUAAUCCUAGAUUAGUUUCUGUUUAGUUUUUAACUAAUCCUAGUGGCCCCACGCGUCAGCUUUGACUAAGCUGACGUGGCUGUUGACUGGGCCCACAUGUCAGCGACACUAAUCAGCCCCAGUCACUGACCAGUGGACCCCACUGGUCAGGUUUGACCUGAACCUGCCCUGUUGACCUGAUGACGUCAAGGUGAUGUCAUGCUGACGCAUUAAAUGAUUUUCUGGAUUUAAAAUAAAUCAGAAAAUCCAGAAAAUAGCUAAAACUUCUAAAAAUCAUAGAAAAUUAACCGUAACUCCAAAUUAAAUAAAUUAUAUAUGAAAAAUUAUCAGAAAAAUUCAAGGAAUCCAUCUGUACCAUUUUCAUGCAUGUUUGAACAAUGUUUGUCCUCUGUUUUGGACAAAACAAAUAAAUGGCAUUUAAAUAAUCACAUAUGGAGUUUGAAUUUGAAUCUUGGAUUCAAACCAACUUCAUUUAAUCUGGUUUUAGUUGCAUUAGCUCAAAACACAUUCAUUUUUGCCAUGUCAUAGCAUGCAUCAUAUUGUGCAUUGCAUUGAUCGUGUUUUUCUGUAUUUGCCGGUAAUUGUCCCCUCUCGAUAGACGUGAUUCCGAUGAUGUGAUCGUUGACACUGAUGAAGACUCAAUGCUAUCUUCAGAAGUGCCAGGCAAGCAAAACCCCCUUGUUCAUUCCGAUAAAAUCCCACUCUCUCGCUCCUGCUCUCUAUUACUGCAUUAGGACAACAACGAUUCAACUGUUACUUGCUGCGGUAGCUGAACCCCUCUAUCCUUUGCAUGACCUGUCAUUCCACAGUAAAUAGAUGAAACCCACUAGCAUGAGUAGGAGUUGUUUGAGCCCUGAUGUGCCUACUCAUUCAUGCUUGUUUGUCAUGCCUGCUACUGCUUAGAGUUGAGUCAGGUCUGAUUCAUCGGGGAUGAAUCAGAGACGUGUGAACAUGUCCUACUGUGUGUGAGCUAAGUGUGUGAACACGAUUUGGUAAAGGUAGCGGUGAGAGGCCAUGUAGGAGUACAUGGUGGGUUGUCUCAUUGCAGCCGUCCUCAGGAACUGAGUUCUGUGUUUGUGAUCCAUGAUCAGUUACUACCACACAUUGGGCUCCGGGCACUCCAAGCUCUCUCGACUUAUUAAUCAACUUGAUCUCUGUCCAGGAGUUGCAACUAGUUUCUGGUGUUUGUAGGUAGUGUUAGUAGUCUACCAAGUGGCACCCGGUACAGGUGGGCUUGGGACAGACUAGGCACAGUGGCCCGGUGUACCAAGUGGCACCCGGUUGGUGGGCUUGGGAACCCUGCACACAUCGUUUGGGGCCGUAAGCGACACCCCGGCCGGAUCUCCUUGCGGAUGGAACCCGAAUAGGCAAUAAACCUGGACUAGAGACUUGUUCGGUUAGUCAGGUCGUGGCCGACUCCCUCGCCCGGCUUCCGCUUGAAGGUUGCCGAGGUACAUGACGUGUACAGGGCGGUAAGUGGCGGGAGCGUGUGUGAAGAAGUACACCCCUGCAGGGUUAUCAUUAUCUAUUCGAAUAGCCGGAUUCCUCGGAUAUGGAAACUUGGACCCCUUGUACAGUUCAUAGACAAGUGAAAGUGGAUACUCUAAAAUACGCAAGAUAAGCGUGAGUGCUAUGGAUGGCGUUCUCGUAGGGAGACGGGAGCGGAUCCAUAGUGGUGUAUUGGUUGGUGAAUAUGUGGACUCGUGUGCGCCACCUCAAAAGAGUUACUUGCAGUCGUAGUUCAGGAUAGCCACCGAGUCAAAGCUGGCUUGCUGCAGUCAACCCCUCCACCCCCUUGUUGAUAAUGAUGCAUAUGUAGAUAGUUCUGAUGUAAGUCUUGCUGGGUACAUUUGUACUCACGUUUGCCUAUUUUAUGUUUUUGCAGAGAGACUUCAGUCUCACUAGUAGUUCCGCUUGGACUUCGACGUUUAGCUUGUUACCUCAGCUACGAUCUUGUGCCCUCGGCAGGGCCUGAUAGAUAGUCAGGCUUCUCAGCUUUUUUCAUUUAUAGAUGUCUGUACUCAGACAUGAUAGCUUCCGCUUGUGCUUUGACUUGUAUGCUCUGAUUGUUGGGUCAUGAGACCCAUGUUUGUAAUAUCUCGCUCCUCGGAGCCUAUUGAAUAAAUUACUUGAGUCGUAGAGUCAUGUUGUGAUGCCAUGUUGUAUUUGCACAUAUCGAGCAUAUUGUGUGUAUGCUAUUGAAAUGCUUGGUAUGUGUGGGAUCUGACCAUCUAGUUGUUUAUCUUUAGUAGCCUCUCUUACCGGGAAAUGUCUCCUAGUGUUUCCACCGAGCCAUGGUAGCUUGCUACUGCUCCGGAACACUUAGGCUGGCCGGCAUGUGUCCUUCUUCGUUCCUGUGUCUGUCCCUACGGGGAAAUGUCACGCGAUGAAUACCGGAGUCCUGUUAGCCCGCUACAGCCCGGUUCACCGGAGUCCUGCUAGCCCAGUGCUACAGCCUGGAUUCACUCGCUGAUGAUCGACACGUUCGAUGCUGUGUCAUGGAUGCCUGUCCCUGUAAGUUUGUGCCACUUUGGGUUUACGACUAGCCAUGUCAGCCCGGGCUCCUUAUCAUAUGGAUGCUAGCGACACUGUCAUAUACGUGUGCCAAAAGGCGCAAACGGUCCCGGGCAAAGGUAAGGUGACACCCGUGGGAAUACCGUGCGUGAGGCCGCAAAGUGAUAUGAGGUGUUACAUGCUAGAUCGAUGUGGCAUUGAGUCGGGGUCCUGACAGCGUUGGUAUCAGAGCUUGACUGCCUGUAGGUUUACCAAGCCAAACUGGUCGAAGUUGAGUCUAGAAAUUCUUUAGUUAUAUAAGGGAUUUGAUUGUGGGAUGGAACGUAAGGCUCUUUUUUUUACUCCCUAUACCUCAUGGCCUUCUGAUCUGAGUCAUCAUCUUCUCUUCUACGGGGAUUAAGAACUAGGCUAUCUCUUCUUUCUAUUAGGAUCACGUGUUGCUAAUCAGUAGACUUAUAAGAUUGUUGGUUUUAAGCCUCAGUUCAGCUCCUACUAUCUUCUGUAUGUUAAUUGUUGAUCUCCAAACCUUGAUAUUGUGCUUCUGAGUGGUUAUGCCACCAUUUUUGUGAAUGUCUCAAAUCUUUUCUGAGCAUUUACAGCCGUUAUGCUGUCCGAGUCAUUCCAGGUUUCUAAAUAGUCUGAUGCAUUUGCAAAAUCCUUUCCCUCUGGUUUCGAUGUUCCUUUAUGCCAGCUCAAUCACACUAAUUGUUGAGUUGAGGUAUUCUAUUGCCUUGACAUUAUGUUGGAGUUACUAUUAUGACCCUAGGUGUCUCAGGGGAUCAUCUAGUAGUCUAGCCAUGAUUUAUGUUCCAGUGUGAUGACUCUGGCCGUCAUUAUCGAAAGCAUCCCGUGAUGCCAUUUAGUAGUAGGUAUUCUAUCCCUGGGUUUUGAACCCGAGAUUCACCCUACUUGCUUCAUGUUGAUAGUUUUGCUCGUUCCUUUAGGCUAUUAGUAACCUUUGCAUUAGUCCUCGAUGUUCGUGGUAUUCCUUUCUUCCAAAUACUAUGAACCGCUUAUGGCAGAUGUUCCUCGCUGAUCGAAAGAUCACAAUCAGAGUGCUCUCGAUGGGUUCCCGAUUCUACAUUGUGACUCUGCCAGUUCUACCUUUCUGCAUGGGUUAUCCGGAAGAAAUAUGUGGAAUUUGUUCGACAUGCUAAACCAUGCAUCCACAACUCAGAAAAUCGUAUGUUCCUUUGAGUUGUCCCUCUUUAGUUGUCUUCUGACCCUCGUCUAUCAAUUGAUAGUCAAGAGUAUGCGUGCAUUCGUUCGUCGAUGCCUAUUACCCUUGUGGUCCGCCAAGCCAUUCUAUUUCAGAAUGAAUAGGAGAAACAAACUCCAGUACCUCAUCCAUAUUUAGGAUUGGGUCAAAGUAGUUGUGUUCCGCAGAUCAAGUUACAAUCCAGCUUCUGGUCUGCUCUACCCUGAAGUAUUACCUUCUUUAUGACAGGAAUUUCAUGAGAAUUGCACCACCUUUUGUGAAUUCUUGACAUAGUGAUACUUCUCGCCAUCCUUUUUCAUUCCUCGGUUCCGUGUUGUUGCAGCCGGAGUGCCGACAAGUGAAUCAUGAUGUGUGAACUCAAUACUCCUAGCAACCCCAUUGCUUGGUAGUUAAUGGACAAUAAUCUUAUUCUUAGUAUGUUGGUUAUUGAAUCACCAUUCUAAGAUUGAUCGUGCUACCUAGUCCUUAUUUCCUGGUGCACUCUUUGAUUGAUGAGUUAGGAUUUGUCAAGUCCUCGCUCAUUUGAUCAUAUCAUCUUGCCCUGAAAAGCAAGAUUGUUCUCGAGCUUAGUAACAUAUCGGUGGUUCAUGAUUUUCCGAAGAUCUUCUCGGAAGUAUUACCAGGUUGUCACCUGACCGCUAUGUUGAGCUCGUGAUCAAGUUGGUUUCUUGUGAACCACCCUCUCUCCAAGAUCGGUGUUAGAUAUCCCUGAGCUAGUUGGUUAAGCUAGACAACAACUUGGAGAGUUGGAAGAUAAAAGCUUGCCUGACUUAGUUCGUUCCAAAGGGAUAUUCUUGUGUAGUGUGUGUUGAAGAAAGAUGAUAUCUUCAUCGAUUGGUCCCUGUGAUCAGUUGCUGGACCUAUUGUCUUAUCAAUCCUUUGAUUUGAGUGUGGGCUAUCGUCAAAUCAAGUCAGAUCCAACGAUGUUCGUAAUGUUGUCUUACUCGUGGUUGAUCCCUCGAGCAUACACCAUUAUAUCUUUUGGUUCUGACCAAUGCUAUCACCGUGUUCACACGAUGGUGGAAGUCCAGUGAUAUGGAAAUUCCGAUGAGUUGUUGUUGAGCCCAUUGACAACAUUCUUAUCUCCUCCAUGAUGUUGUUGAACAUUAAGUUAGUGUUGGAAACUUUUGAAAGCAUUUUCUUCAUGCUAGCUCAUGAAGUACUUGUUGAUGAAAGGAGUGACUUCCUUUGAUUCACGUGCAUUUGAUGCAAGUUGCCGCCGUGGAUUCGAGAAAGUCAAUGUUGCUUCUUUUGGAAUCAUCCCAAAUCAGUCAUGCAUACGUGCGAAAUAUUCUGUGGUUCGGAGACUUGCAACCUCCAUUCUAUAUGGGUCCCUAGCACACCAAGCCACUGAUUGAUUUGUUCAAGAUUAAUAAGUUCUAAGUGCUAGUCCCGAAGGUACCAGACGGAUUUGUACAAAACUUCGAUAUCCUCGCUGAUGGUUCCCCCCUCCUGAACUCGGUAGUGUUUUAUUAUAAGACUACUUUGUGGUCAUGCUUGUCUGGGACAACGUGUUCACAUGUUUGUAGCAGAACCAGCUCAUGUUUUGGAGCUUACUAUCGUAGUUCAUUUCCCGAGAAUCUCGCAACGUCAUCUCGUCGAUUUGUGUUGCAAACUUUCAUUUUUCUUCCUAGACUCGAUGAGCCUGGAAUAUUCUGACACCAACCAGAUCUGAAUCUCAGGCAGAUAUGAUGGUUGGAACAUUUCCCAAGAAUUAUAAUAUUGGUCGCGUGAUAACCGGUAAAGUGGAUGUCGUGGCCAACACACCCAGCCGGAAGACCUGUUAUUAUAAUAUCUUGAUUGAUGAAGUUGGCCACCUCCCCAUAGGGAUUUCGUAGGGUUUACCCCCUAGUUGCCCCUAUGGAUUUUUGUGUUCCCGAAGUCCGACCUUUUACUUGAUGUUUUAGAUAUCAAACCAUAUCUAUGAAUGGGUUACACUAGCACGUCAAGGAGAACAUUAGAAGCGGAGUGUUAAUUGUCUCUCGGUCGAUCAUCCAGAUUUUGUUUCCUUGGCCUCGCUAGGGUGAAAUCUGAGUUGAUGUUAUCUUCCUUCGCAGCUGCAUCAUCCAUCGCUAUUCAUCAUGGUAGUAUGUUGUGUUGUCAGCACCUUGACACGGUUGUUGAUAAAACCUUGAUGAUUAUGGAAAUGCUCAAGUUCUUGAGAGCACGCACAAGCGCUAGGUGUUAUCAUCGGCACUAACUGGGAUUCCUCUCGGUUUCCUCGGCAAUGCUAUGACCUUUUCAAACAGUGAAUUCACCCUCUAUUGUUGGAUUCUUCCCCAGUUACCAGAAUCAUUCCCAGCAUUUGCAUUUUGUUCCUAGCUUGCACCGCCAAUGUGCCAUUCUACCAUGGGUCUCUUCCAUCUCCGGUGAUAAGCAAAUUCAUCCAUUACGUUGUCUUCAACAAGGUAAUCCACAUCAUCCAAGUCCGAGUAUGCUAUUCUACCGACCCCGCCAAUCGAUUGCUGUGAUUUGCCUUAGGCUGAUAUAGAGAGUCUCAAUGAUCUCUAUAUCAAAGGUAAUUCUUUUUGCCACUUAAGAUAAUAAUCUACGAAUCACCCUUCUCCAGGAUGUUUCGUCGUGGUAUCAUGGCAAUUCAACUCCUCGCUACGUUGACAACCGACCGCCACAUUCUUAAGUCUGGAAUUGUUGUCUACCUAGUGAACCUUUGUCAUCUGCUUCACCCCAUUCCUAUGGAUGUGUGCUUCGUCUCUCAGCUCGAGAGAAGGUUGCUAUGUCUCAUUCCGUGAGUUAAUCCUGAGUUGUUCAAUCUUCGAGAAGAUCGACCCUGCUAGAGUCUCCUUCUUUUCCUCCAUGUCAUGUUGACAGGAUCGUUCAAGGCAAGACUUCAAGACAAUGAUGGUGAAUGAAUCAACGUUCAACUGAAGUGCACCCUGGAUCGUGAAGAUUAUACUAGUCUGCGUUACCCUUCACUUUACCCUACGCUUGAAUCUCGAGACGAGAUUCUUGUUUAGUGGGGGUGAGUUGUCACAUCCCUAGCUGCUGGUAGUGCUCUAGGCUAGCUUCAUGUGUGCAUCAUGUCUAUAUUUUCGAAACUUGAACUGAGGAAUUUUGGAAGCCUCAAAAACUUAAAUAAAAGAGGGGCAAAAACCCUGGAAGUCUCAUUCAUUGCUCCAAAAAUGCCCUUUUUAAAUGUUUGAUGAUUUUUGGUAAGGGUUCUGGUCCCAACCAAAAUAUUGAACAUUUUUAAGGAAUUAUUUUUGGGACUUUGGAUUUAAUUCAUUAGCUAUUUGAAUUUGAAUUAUAUUCAUAUAAUUAGAAUAUAAUUUCAAAUACCCCCAGAAAUAUUUUAUAAGCUUUUGGAAAAGUCCAUCUAGCAAUAUAAAAUAUUCAGAGGAGCUUUGGCAUUGUUUGAAUUAUUAUUUUUAAUUCAAAACAGUGGCAAAAGAAUUAAAUAAAACAAAACAGAGAGAAAAAAAUAAAAAGAGCAAAGUUACCUGGCCUUACCGUGCAGCCCACCAGAGCCUGGCCCAGCUCCAUCUGGCCGGCCCAGCCGGCCCAGCCCACCUCCUCCCCCUUGUCCUCUUCCUCCUCUGCCAGGAGGACGAACAGAGGCGAGGCGUGGCGCGCGCCCGAGAGGCCUCGGCCACCUCCUGCUUCCCCCCCUGGCCACCUCCUGCCUGGUUGCCUCCCUCCUCGACGCCCGGAGACGCCACGCACUCCCCCUCGCCCCCUGCACCUCUCCUCUCCCCCCUGGACCCCAUUCCCUCCUCUGCUUCCCUCUCGCGCACACCACUGAGCGGAGCUCGCCGUCAUCGUCGCCGUACCCAUGGCCACCGGCCACCCCUAGCCUCCCCGACGCCUCCCAAAGCUCUGCCUCGACCUACUCUUCCUCCCCACCCCUCCAAGCAACACCCGGAGCCCUGUAGCCACGCCAUCACCGCCAUCUUCAUCGCCACGGCCGGCAAUCGCCGCCGUUCGAUUCGCCGCCGACAGGACGUCCCCGAGCCCACCCAGCGUCUCGUCCGACUCCCCGUGAGCUCCUCUUCUCUUCCCCUCACUCCCCGCACCUGAUUUCGUCCCCUAGCUCCAUCUUCCACCACGGCCGAAGCUCGCCGCCGCCGUGCCUCGUCGCCGUCGUGGCCAGAGCUACUGUGGCUCGAAGCCGGGCACACCAUCGUGCUCCACACCUCACCAGGAGCACGUAGCACGCACCAACGCCUCCCCUAGCGCCCUGCAUCGCCUAAACCGCCGUUGGCCGAACUCCGGCCGCCGCUCACGAGCUCGCCGUCGUCGGUACCGGCCACCACAGGCACGGCCACCACCACCAUUCGAUGCGCACCAGCAAGGGCUCUCCAACGAGCCCAAGCACAGCCUCGCCCGUGCCCUGUAGCGCGUUUCCGGCUCGCGCCGCCGUCUCGGGCCUCGCCGGCGUCAUGUCGCCGGUGGGUUUGACCCCACUGACCCGGGAUUUGACCCUGCUAAUUAACCCUGUGACACUGACAGCAGGGCCCCACCUGCUAAUUAAUCCUAGAUUAGUUUCUGUUUAGUUUUUAACUAAUCCUAGUGGCCCCACGCGUCAGCUUUGACUAAGCUGACGUGGCUGUUGACUGGGCCCACAUGUCAGCGACACUAAUCAGCCCCAGUCACUGACCAGUGGACCCCACUGGUCAGGUUUGACCUGAACCUGCCCUGUUGACCUGAUGACGUCAAGGUGAUGUCAUGCUGACGCAUUAAAUGAUUUUCUGGAUUUAAAAUAAAUCAGAAAAUCCAGAAAAUAGCUAAAACUUCUAAAAAUCAUAGAAAAUUAACCGUAACUCCAAAUUAAAUAAAUUAUAUAUGAAAAAUUAUCAGAAAAAUUCAAGGAAUCCAUCUGUACCAUUUUCAUGCAUGUUUGAACAAUGUUUGUCCUCUGUUUUGGACAAAACAAAUAAAUGGCAUUUAAAUAAUCACAUAUGGAGUUUGAAUUUGAAUCUUGGAUUCAAACCAACUUCAUUUAAUCUGGUUUUAGUUGCAUUAGCUCAAAACACAUUCAUUUUUGCCAUGUCAUAGCAUGCAUCAUAUUGUGCAUUGCAUUGAUCGUGUUUUUCUGUAUUUGCCGGUAAUUGUCCCCUCUCGAUAGACGUGAUUCCGAUGAUGUGAUCGUUGACACUGAUGAAGACUCAAUGCUAUCUUCAGAAGUGCCAGGCAAGCAAAACCCCCUUGUUCAUUCCGAUAAAAUCCCACUCUCUCGCUCCUGCUCUCUAUUACUGCAUUAGGACAACAACGAUUCAACUGUUACUUGCUGCGGUAGCUGAACCCCUCUAUCCUUUGCAUGACCUGUCAUUCCACAGUAAAUAGAUGAAACCCACUAGCAUGAGUAGGAGUUGUUUGAGCCCUGAUGUGCCUACUCAUUCAUGCUUGUUUGUCAUGCCUGCUACUGCUUAGAGUUGAGUCAGGUCUGAUUCAUCGGGGAUGAAUCAGAGGCGUGUGAACAUGUCCUACUGUGUGUGAGCUAAGUGUGUGAACACGAUUUGGUAAAGGUAGCGGUGAGAGGCCAUGUAGGAGUACAUGGUGGGUUGUCUCAUUGCAGCCGUCCUCAGGAACUGAGUUCUGUGUUUGUGAUCCAUGAUCAGUUACUACCACACAUUGGGCUCCGGGCACUCCAAGCUCUCUCGACUUAUUAAUCAACUUGAUCUCUGUCCAGGAGUUGCAACUAGUUUCUGGUGUUUGUAGGUAGUGUUAGUAGUCUACCAAGUGGCACCCGGUACAGGUGGGCUUGGGACAGACUAGGCACAGUGGCCCGAUGUACCAAGUGGCACCCGGUUGGUGGGCUUGGGAACCCUGCACACAUCGUUUGGGGCCGUAAGCGACACCCCGGCCGGAUCUCCUUGCGGAUGGAACCCGAAUAGGCAAUAAACCUGGACUAGAGACUUGUUCGGUUAGUCAGGUCGUGGCCGACUCCCUCGCCCGGCUUCCGCUUGAAGGUUGCCGAGGUACAUGACGUGUACAGGGCGAUAAGUGGCGAAAGCGUGUGUGAAGAAGUGCACCCCUGCAGGGUUAUCAUUAUCUAUUCGAAUAGCCGGAUUCCUCGGAUAUGGAAACUUGGACCCCUUGCAUAGUUCAUAGACAAGUGAAAGUGCAUACUCUAAAAUACGCAAGAUAAGCGUGAGUGCUAUGGAUGGCGUUCUCGUAGGGAGACGGGAGCGGAUCCAUAGUGGUGUAUUGGUUGGUGAAUAUGUGGACUCGUGUGCGCCACCUCAAAAGAGUUACUUGCAGUCGUAGUUCAGGAUAGCCACCGAGUCAAAGCUGGCUUGCUGCAGUCAACCCCUCCACCCCCUUGUUGAUAAUGAUGCAUAUGUAGAUAGUUCUGAUGUAAGUCUUGCUGGGUACAUUUGUACUCACGUUUGCCUAUUUUAUGUUUUUGCAGAGAGACUUCAGUCUCACUAGUAGUUCCGCUUGGACUUCGACGUUUAGCUUGUUACCUCAGCUACGAUCUUGUGCCCUCGGCAGGGCCUGAUAGAUAGUCAGGCUUCUCAGCUUUUUUCAUUUAUAGAUGUCUGUACUCAGACAUGAUAGCUUCCGCUUGUGCUUUGACUUGUAUGCUCUGAUUGUUGGGUCAUGAGACCCAUGUUUGUAAUAUCUCGCUCCUCGGAGCCUAUUGAAUAAAUUACUUGAGUCGUAGAGUCAUGUUGUGAUGCCAUGUUGUAUUUGCACAUAUCGAGCAUAUUGUGUGUAUGCUAUUGAAAUGCUUGGUAUGUGUGGGAUCUGACCAUCUAGUUGUUUAUCUUUAGUAGCCUCUCUUACCGGGAAAUGUCUCCUAGUGUUUCCACCGAGCCAUGGUAGCUUGCUACUGCUCCGGAACACUUAGGCUGGCCGGCAUGUGUCCUUCUUCGUUCCUGUGUCUGUCCCUACGGGGAAAUGUCACGCAAUGAAUACCGGAGUCCUGUUAGCCCGCUACAGCCCAGUUCACCGGAGUCCUGCUAGCCCAGUGCUACAGCCUGGAUUCACUCGCUGAUGACCGACACGUUCGAUGCUGGGUCAUGGAUGCCUGUCCCUGUAAGUUUGUGCCACUUUGGGUUUACGACUAGCCAUGUCAGCCCGGGCUCCUUAUCAUAUGGAUGCUAGCGACACUGUCAUAUACGUGUGCCAAAAGGCGCAAACGGUCCCGGGCAAAGGUAAGGCGACACCCGUGGGAAUACCGUGCGUGAGGCCGCAAAGUGAUAUGAGGUGUUACAUGCUAGAUCGAUGUGGCAUUGAGUCGGGGUCCUGACACAUGGAUGGGUCAUGGAUACGUAUACGUACUAUUACUAACUCUGUGGAUUGUGGUGUACUCACGUGCUGAAGAAACUGACGGAUGAAAUGGGUCAUGGAUUACCUCGUUGGCCCGUUGCAGACUUUGGGCUACCGGACUGCUGUGCGGCGCGCUCAGCGGCGAGCCGGCGGCGGCCGAGACGGCGAGGCGCCGAGCGACGAGCAGCAGGCGGGACGAAGAUACUAGAGACGAACCGUCCAGACUCCAGACGAAGGAAAAGAAAAUGAGCAGCCGAUACUGAUCGCUAGCCGCUAGCUUAAUGCUUCGUAAUCGAUCACAUGGGCCUCGCGCCCUAGCCAAUCUCGUUUUCUUACGUAUUUUUUGCUGGGAAAUAGUAUGUAUACAUUGUUAGAUGUGUUAGAUAUAUAUAGUCUCUCUUUUCUGUUUAUCCCCAUUACACAUGUAUAUAUACUGGCCCUAGGCCCUGCUGAGAAUGUAGUUGCUCAUUUCUCUAACGUGGUAUCAGUUGCCAGGUUUCUCCUCCUCUCCCGCACGCUGCAGCUUCGUGCCUAGCUCCCCGUCGCCGGCCAUCUCCGGCCACCUCCUCCCCCGCCGCCGGCCGUCUGCGCCUCACCCGCGCCCGGCAGAAGCCGCUGCAGCUGCUCCCCGCAACUGUUGCUUCCCUGCAGCGACGCGACCCAGCUCGCGCUAGUGCUCGCAGCCGCCCGUAGGCGCCGCCCCGAGCCGCCGCCCCGAGCCGCCUCCGCCCUCCGGCUGCUCCGCCCGCGGCCGCUGCUACUGGCUCCAUGCAGCGCCCGGCUGCCNNNNNNNNNNNNNNNNNNNNNNNNNNNNNNNNNNNNNNNNNNNNNNNNNNNNNNNNNNNNNNNNNNNNNNNNNNNNNNNNNNNNNNNNNNNNNNNNNNNNNNNNNNNNNNNNNNNNNNNNNNNNNNNNNNNNNNNNNNNNNNNNNNNNNNNNNNNNNNNNNNNNNNNNNNNNNNNNNNNNNNNNNNNNNNNNNNNNNNNNNNNNNNNNNNNNNNNNNNNNNNNNNNNNNNNNNNNNNNNNNNNNNNNNNNNNNNNNNNNNNNNNNNNNNNNNNNNNNNNNNNNNNNNNNNNNNNNNNNNNNNNNNNNNNNNNNNNNNNNNNNNNNNNNNNNNNNNNNNNNNNNNNNNNNGCUCCCUGCAGCGCCCGGCCGCCGCCGGGGCUCCGCCCGGCCGCCUCCUGGCCUGUGCCCAGCCGCGCCCGGCGGGUGGUGCCUUGGGGCUGCCUCUGCCGCGCCCUGCCGGCCGGUGAGGUUCCGAUCUCGAUCCCGUUCUAGGCGUUGACCUCGUUUCAAAAGAAAAGAAAAGAAAGACGAAGUAAAAGAAGAAGGCGCGUGCGCUCCUCAUGGCUUCUUCGGGCUAUGUUGUUGUUCCUCGGUGCGCGGUGAUCUUCGAUUGAACCAACUAUGCCGAGUUCGUGGGUUUUAUGUGCAUCCAUAUGCGUGGCCUCCUUCUGUGGGGUGUUCUCUCUGGCGAGAUCCCCCGUCCGCCGUGCCCGGUGCCUCCCGUGACUCAUGUGCCACCUGUUCUUGCUGCUGAUGCAUCUCAGGCUGAUCGAGAUGCCGCUAAGGCCCUUGAUGACGCUGCAGUUGAUGCUUAUGAUCAGCAGGUAUCAGCUUAUUCCGCUGCAUUUUCUGUUUACCGCGAGGAUCUGACUGCUUACACUCAAUGGUGCAAUGAUGAUGCUCGGGCUCCUGCUGUUCUCACCGCCAGUGUUCUCCCUCAGUUUGUGUCCGAGUUCAUGGGCCUCGGCACAGUUGCAGCAAUGUGGUCGUUUCUCUGUCAGCGCUAUUAGCCAUCUGGUGAUGCCCUGUAUUUUUAGUGGUGUGUCAGGAGCAUGCUCUUCAGCAAGGUGACUCGUCUAUUGACGAGUUCUACACUCAGUGUUCCGCUAUUUGGCAUCAGCUAGAUUCUCUUUGCAUAGUUGUUUGUGGAACUUGCCGUUGCUGUCAGACUACCAGGGCCGAUUUGGAUUUUCAGCGUGUCCAUGAGUUUUUAUCUCGCCUCCGCACCGAGUUUGAUCCUAGGCGUGCCCACUUACUUGCUCAUGGUCGUGUUCCUAUCAUCGAGGUUCUUGCUGAGCUUCGUUCUAAGGAGACCCGUCUUCGCUCUGCUGGGUUAAUUGUGGUUCCUUCUGUCCUGGCUGCCAGGGCUCCUGUAUCGGUUGCUCGUCCCACCGCUCCGCCGCUCCUGCCCACACCUUCUGGGGGGUCAGUCGCCCUCCUUAUACUAAGAGGGGCCAGUCGCGGAGUGACAUGGUCUUUGGCUAUUGUUCCCGGUGUUGGGGAACGUAGCAGAAAUUUUAAAAUUUUCUACGCAUCACCAAGAUCAAUCUAUGGAGUCAUCUAGCAAUGAGGGAGAGAGGAGUGCAUCUACAUAUCCUUGUAGAUCACGAGCGGAAGCGUUCAAGAGAACGGGGUUGAUCGAGUUGUACUCGACGUGAUCCAAAUCACCGAAGAUCCUAGUGCCGAACGGACGGCACCUCCGCGUUCAACACACGUACGGAGCGAGGACGUCUCCCGCGCCUUGAUCCAGCAAGGAGGAGGGAGAGGUUGAGGAAGAGGGCUCCAACAGCAGCACGAUGGCGUGGUGGUGAUGAAGCUGCAGUACUCCGGCAGGGCUUUGCCAAGCUCUUAUGGAGGAGGAGAUGUGUUGGGGAGGGGAGGGGCUGCGCCUUGGAUGUUGUGUGCAGCCCUCCCCUCACCCCUCUAUUUAUAGGGGAAAGGGAAAGGGGGCCGGCCCCCUCUAGAUGAGAUCUAGAGGGGGGGGCGACCAAGGGGAGGGGGGCUUGCCCCCAAGCAAGGGGGCACCCCCCCUUAGGGUUUCCCCCAACCCUAGGCGCAUGGGCCCUAGGGGGGUGUGGCGCCCCAGCCCACUUGGGCUGGUUCCCUUCUCCAUACAGCCCAUAAGGCCCUCCGGAAGAGGUGGACCCUCCCGGUGGACCCCCGGAACCCCUCGGGUGGCCCCGGUACAAUACCGAUAUGCCCCUGAAACUUUCCGGCGACCAUAUGACAACUUCUCAUAUAUAAUCUUUACCUCCGGACCAUUCCGGAACUCCUCGUGACGUUUGGGAUCUCAUCCGGGACUCCGUUUGAACAACAUUCGGUAAUCACAUACAAGUCUUCCUAACAACCCUAGUGUCACCAAACCUUAAGUGUGUAGACCCUACGGGUUCGGGAGACAUGCAGACAUGACCGAGACGACUCUCCGGUCAAUAACCAACAGCGGGAUCUGGAUACCCAUGUUGGCUCCCACAUGCUCCACGAUGAUCUCAUCGGAUGAACCACGAUGUCGAGGAUUCAAUCAAUCCGUAUACAAUUCCCUUUGUCAAUCGGUACGUUACUUGUCCGAGACUCGAUCGUCGGUGUCCCAAUACCUUGUUCAGUCUCGUUAUCGGCAAUUUACUUUACUCGUACCAUAAUGCAUGAUCCCGUGAUCAACCACUUGAUCACAUUGAGCUCAUUAUGAUGAUGCAUUACCGAGUGGGCCCAGAGAUACCUCUCCGUCAUACGUAGUGACAAAUCCCAGUCUCGAUUCGUGCCAACCGAACAGACACUUUGGGAGAUACCUGUAAUGUACCUUUAUAGUCACCCAGUUACGUUGUGACGUUUGGCACACCCAAGGCACUCCUACGGUAUCCGGGAGUUGCACAAUCUCAUGGUCUAAGGAAAUGAUACUUGACAUUCAGAAAAGCUACAACAAACGAACUACACGAUCUUUGAGCUAAGCUUAGGAUUGGGUCUUGUCCAUCACAUCAUUCUCCUAAUGAUGUGAUCCCGUUAUCAAUGACAUCUAAUGUCCAUAGUCAGGAAACCAUGACUAUCCUUUGAUCAAUGAGCUAGUCAACUAGAGGCUCACUAGGGACGUGUUGUGGUCUAUGUAUUCACACAUGUAUUACAAUUUCCUGAUAACACAAUUAUAGCAUGAACAAUAGACAAUUAUCAUGAACAAAGAAAUAUAAUAAUAACCAUUUUAUUAUUGCCUCUAGGGCAUAUUUCCAAUAGUCUCCCACUUGCACUAGAGUCAAUAUUCUAGUUACAUUGUGAUGAAUCGAACACCCAUGCAGUUCUGGUGUUGAUCAUGCUUUGCUCUAGGGAGAGGUUUAGUCAACGGAUCUGCUACAUUCAGGUCCGUAUGUACUUUACAAAUCUCUAUGUCUCCAUUUUGAACACUUUCACGAAUGGAGUUGAAGCGACGCUUGAUAUGCCUGGUCUUCCUGUGAAACCUGGGCUCCUUGGCAAGGGCAAUAGCUCCAGUGUUGUCACAGAAGAGGGUCAUGGGGCCCGACGCAUUGGGUAUGACUCCUAGGUCGGUAAUGAACUCCUUCACUCAGACUGCUUCUUGUGCUGCCUCCGAGGCUGCCAUGUACUCCGCUUCACAUGUAGAUCCCGCCACAACGCUUUGCUUGCAACUGCACGAGCUUACUACCCCACCAUUCAAAAUAUACAUGUAUCUGGUUUGUGACUUAGAGUCAUCCAGAUCUGUGUCGAAGCUAGCAUCGACGUAACCCUUUACGACAAGCUCUUUGUCACCUCCAUAAACGAGAAACAUUUCCUUAGUCCUUUUCAGGUACUUCAGGAUAUUCUUGACCGCUGUCCAGUGUUCCAUGCCGGGAUUACUUUGGUACCUUCCUACCAAACUCACGGCAAGGUUUACAUCAGGUCUGGUACAUAGCAUAGCAUACAUGAUAGACCCUAUGGCCGAGGCAUAGGGGACGACACUCAUCUUUUCUCUAUCUUCUGCCGUGGUCGGGCAUUGAGCCGUGCUCGAUCUUGUACCUUGCAAUACAGGCAAGAACCCCUUCUUUGACUGAUCCAUUUUGAACUUCUUCAAUAUCUUGUCAAGGUACGUACUCUGUGAAAGACCAAUGAGGCGUCUCGAUCUAUCUCUAUAGAUCUUGAUGCCUAAUAUAUAAGCAGCUUCUCCAAGGUCCUUCAUUGAAAAACACUUGUUCAAGUAGGCCUUUAUGCUUUUCAAGAAUUCUAUGGCAUUUCCCAUCAACAGUAUGUCAUCCACAUACAAUAUGAGAAAUGCUACAGAGCUCCCACUCACUUUCUUGUAAAUGCAGGCUUCUCCAUAAGUCUGCAUAAACCCAAACGCUUUGACCAUCUCAUCAAAACGAAUGUUCCAACUCCGAGAUGCUUGCACCAGCCCAUAAAUCGAGCAUUGGAGCUUGCACACCUUGUCAACAUUCUUAGGAUCAACAAAACCUUCCGGCUGCAUCAUAUACAAUUCUUCCUUAAGGAAACCAUUAAGGAAUGCCGUUUUGACGUCCAUUUGCCAUAUCUCAUAAUCAUAGAAUGCGGCAAUUGCUAACAUGAUUCAGACAGACUUCAGCUUCGCUACGGGUGAGAAAGUCUCAUCGUAGUCAACCCCUUGAACUUGUCGAUAACCCUUAGCGACAAGCCGAGCUUUAUAGAUGGUCACAUUACCAUCCACGUCUGUCUUCUUCUUAAAGAUCCAUUUAUUUUCUAUGGCUCACCGAUCAACGGGCAAGUCAGUCAAAGUCCAUACUUCGUUUUCAUACAUGGAUCCUAUCUCGGAUUUCAUGGCUUCCAGCCAUUUGUCGGAAUCCGGGCCCGCCAUCGCUUCUUCAUAGUUCGAAGGUUCACCGUUGUCUAACAACAUGAUUUCCAAGACAGGGUUGCCGUACCACUCUGGUGCGGAACGUGUCCUUGUGGACCUACGAAGUUCAGUAGGAACUUGAUCUGAAGUUUCAUGAUCAUCAUCAUCAACUUCCUCUCUAGUCGGUGCAGGCACCUCAGGAACAUUUUCUUGAGCUGCGCCACUUACCAGUUCAAGAGGUAAUACUUCAUCAAGUUCUACCUUCCUCCCACUUAUUUCUUUCGAGAGAAACUCUUUCUCUAGAAAGGACCCGUUCUUGGCAACAAAGAUCUUGCCUUCGGAUCCGAGGUAGAAGGUAUACCCAACAGUUUCUUUAGGGUAUCCUAUGAAGACGCAUUUUUCCGACUUGGGUUCGAGCUUUUCAGGUUGAAGUUUCUUGACAUAAGCAUCGCAUCCCCAAACUUUUAGAAAUGACAGCUUAGGUUUCUUCCCAAACCAUAAUUCAUACGGUGUCGUCUCAACGGAUUUCGACGGAGCCCUAUUUAAAGUGAAUGCGGCAGUCUCUAAAGCAUAGCCCCAAAAUGAUAGCGGUAAAUCGGUAAGAGACAUCAUAGAUCGCACCAUAUCUAAUAGAGUGUGAUUACGACGUUCGGACACACCAUUACACUGAGGUGUUCCAGGCGGCGUGAGUUUUGAAACUAUUCCACAUUUUCUUAAGUGUGUGCAAAAUUCGUGACUCAAUUAUUCUCCCCCAUGAUCUGAUCGCAAGAACUUGAUUUUCCUGUCAUGUUGAUUCUCAACCUCACUCUAGAAUUCCUUGAACUUUUCAAAGGUCUCAGACUUGUGUUUCAUUAAGUAGACAUACCCAUAUCUACUCAAGUCAUCAGUGAGGGUGAGAACAUAACGAUAGCCACCGCGAGCCUCAACACUCAUUGGACCGCACACAUCAGUAUGUAUCAUUUCCAAUAAGUUGGUUGCUCGCUCCAUUGUUCCUGAGAACGGAGUCUUGGUCAUUUUACCCAUGAGGCAUGGUUCGCAUGUGUCAAAUGAUUCGUAAUCAAGAGACUCUAAAAGUCCAUCUGCAUGGAGCUUCUUCAUGCGUUUGACACCUAUGUGACCAAGGCGGUAGUGCCACAAGUAUGUGGGACUAUCAUUAUCAACCUUACAUCUUUUGGUAUUCACACUAUGAAUAUGUGUAGCAUUACGCUCGAGAUUCAUUAAGAAUAAACCAUUCACCAUCGGAGCAUGACCAUAAAACAUAUCUCUCAUAUAAAUAGAACAACCAUUAUUCUCGGAUUUAAAUGAGUAGCCAUCUCGUAUUAAACGAGAUCCUGAUACAAUGUUCAUGCUCAAAGGUGGAACUAAAUAACAAUUAUUGAGGUUUAAAACUAAUCCCGUAGGUAAAUGUAGAGGUAGUGUGCCGAUGGUGAUCACAUCGACCUUGGAACCAUUCGCGACGCGCAUCGUCACCUCGUCCUUCGUCAGUCUCCGCUUAUUCCGCAGCUCCUGCUUUGAGUUACAAAUGUGAGCAACCGCACCAGUAUCAAAUACCUGGGAGCUAGUACGAGUACUGGUAAGGUACACAUCAAUUACAUGUAUAUCACAUAUACCUUUCAUGAUGCCGGCCUUCUUGUCCGCUAAGUAUUUGGGGCAGUUCCGCUUCCAGUGACCACUUCCCUUGCAAUAAAAACACUCAGUCUCGGGCUUGGGUCCAUUCUUUGGCUUCUUCCCGGCAGCUUGCUUACCGGGCGCGGCAACUCCCUUGCUGUCCUUCUUGAAGUUCUUCUUACCCUUGCCUUUCUUGAACUUAGUGGUUUUAUUCACCAUCAACACUUGAUGUUCCUUUUUGACUUCUACCUCUGCUGAUUUCAGCAUUGCAAAUACUUCAGGAAUGGUCUUUUCCAUCCCCUGCAUAUUGAAGUUCAUCACAAAGCUCUUGUAGCUCGGUGGAAGCGACUGAAGGAUUCUGUCAAUGACCGCAUCAUCCGGGAGAUUAACUCCCAUCUGAGUCAAGCGGUUAUGCAACCCAGACAUUUUGAGUAUGUGCUCACUGACAGAACUAUUUUCCUCCAUCUUACAGCUGAAGAACUUGUCAGAGACUUCAUAUCUCUCGACCCGGGCAUGAGCUUGAAAAACCAUUUUCAGCUCUUCGAACAUCUCAUAUGCUCCAUGUCUCUCAAAACGCUUUUGGAGCCCCGGUUCUAAGCUGUAAAGCAUGCCGCACUGAACGAGGGAGUAAUCAUCAGCACGUGUCUGCCAAGCGUUCAUAACGUCUUGGUUCUGUGGGACGGGUGCGUCACCUAGCGGUGCUUCUAGGACAUAAUCUUUCUUGGCAGCUAUGAGGAUGAUCCUCAGGUUCCGGACCCAGUCCGUAUAGUUGCUGCCAUCGUCUUUCAGCUUGGUUUUCUCUAGGAACGCGUUGAAGUUGAGGACAACGUGGGCCAUUUGAUCUACAAGACAUAUUGUAAAGAUUUUAGACUAAGUUCAUGAUAAUUAAGUUUAUCUAAUCAAAUUAUUAAAUGAACUCCCACUCAGAUAGACAUCCCUCCAGUCAUCUAAGUAUAACAUGAUCCGAGUUAACUAGGCCGUGUCCGAUCAUCACGUGAGAUGGACUAGUCAACAUCGGUGAACAUCUUCAUGUUGAUCGUAUCUUCUAUACGACUCAUGCUCGACCUUUUGGUCUUCUGUGUUCCGAGGCCAUGUCUGUACAUGCUAGGCUCGUCAAGUCAACCUAAGUGUAUUGCGUGUGUAAAUCUGUCUUACACCCGUUGUAUUCGAAUGUUAGAAUCUAUCACACCCGAUCAUCACGUGGUGCUUCGAAACAACGAACCUUCGCAACGGUGCACAGUUAGGGGGAACACUUUCUUGAAAUUAUUAUGAGGGAUCAUCUUAUUUAAGCUACCGUCGUUCUAAGCAAAUAAGAUGUAAAACAUGAUAAACAUCACAUGCAAUCAAAUAGUGACAUGAUAUGGCCAAUAUCAUUUGCUCCUUUGAUCUCCAUCUUUGGGGCUCCAUGAUCAUCGUUGUCACCGGCAUGACACCAUGAUCUCCAUCAUCAUGAUCUCCAUCAUCGUGUCUUCUUGAAGUUGUCUCGUCAUCUAUUACUUUUACUACUAUGGCUAACGCUUUAGCAAUAAAGUAAAGUAAUUACAUGACGUUUAUGUUGACACGCAGGUCAUAAAUAAAUAAAGACAACUCCUAUGGCUCCUGCCGGUUGUCAUACUCAUCGACAUGCAAGUCGUGAUUCCUAUUACAAGAACAUGAUCAAUCUCAUACAUCACAUAUAUCAUUCAUCAUUCAUCACAACCUUUGGCCAUAUCACAUCACAAAACACUUGCUACAAAAACAAGUUAGACGUCCUCUAAUUGUUGCUGCAAGUUUUUACGUGGCUGCUGUAGGUUUCUAGCAAGAACGUUUCUUACCUACGCCAAAACCACAAUGUGAAUUGCCAAUUUCUAUUUACCCUUCAUAAGGACCCUGUUCAUCGAAUCCGAUCCGACUAAAGUGGGAGAGACGGACACCCGCCAGCCACCUUAUGCAACUAGUGCAUGUCAGUCGGUGGAACCGGUCUCACGUAAGCGUACGUGUAAGGUUGGUCCAGGCCGCUUCAUCCCACGAUGCCACCGAAUCAAGAUAAGACUAGUAACGGCAAGCAAAUUGACAAUAUCGACGCCCACAACUACUUUGUGUUCUACUCGUGCAUAGUAACUACGCAUAGACCUAGCUCAUGAUGCCACUGUUGGGGAACGUAGCAGAAAUUUUAAAAUUUUCUACGCAUCACCAAGAUCAAUCUAUGGAGUCAUCUAGCAACGAGGGAGAGAGGAGUGCAUCUACAUACCCUUGUAGAUCACGAGCGGAAGCAUUCAAGAGAACGGAGUUGAUGGAGUCGUACUCGGCGUGAUCCAAAUCACCGAAGAUCCUAGUGCCGAACGGACGGCACCUCCGCGUUCAACACACGUACGGAGCGAGGACGUCUCCUGCGCCUUGAUCCAGCAAGGAGGAGGGAGAGGUUGAGGAAGAGGGCCCCAACAGCAGCACGACGGCGUGGUGGUGAUGAAGCUGCAGUACUCCGGCAGGGCUUCACCAAGCUCUUAUGGAGGAGGAGAGGUGUUGGGAAGGGGAGGGGCUGCGCCUUGGAUGUUGUGUGCAGCCCUCCCCUCACCCCUCUAUUUAUAGGGGAAAGGGGAAGGGGGCCGGCCCCCUCUAGAUGAGAUCUAGAGGGGGGGCGGCGGCCAAGGGGAGGGGGGCUUGCCCCCAAGCAAGGGGGCGCCCCCCUUAGGGUUUCCCCCAACCCUAGGCGCAUGGGCCCUAGGGGGGUGUGGCGCCCCAGCCCACUUGGGCUGGUUCCCUUCUCCAUACAGCCCAUAAGGCCCUCCGGAAGAGGUGGACCCUCCCAGUGGACCCCCGGAACCCCUCCGGUGGCCCCGGUACAAUACCGAUAUGCCCCCGAAACUUUCCGACGACCAUAUGACAACUUCCCAUAUAUAAAUCUUUACCUCCGGACCAUUCCAGAACUCCUCGUGACGUCCGGGAUCUCAUCCGGGACUCCGAACAACAUUCGGUAAUCACAUACAAGUCUUCCUAACAACCCUAGCGUCACCGAACCUUAAGUGUGUAGACCCUACGGGUUCGGGAGACAUGAAGACAUGACCGAGACGACUCUCCGGUCAAUAACCAACAACGGGAUCUGGAUACCCAUGUUGGCUCCCACAUGCUCCACGAUGAUCUCAUCAGAUGAACCAUGAUGUCGAGGAUUCAAUCAAUCCGUAUACAAUUCCCUUUGUCAAUCGGUACGUUACUUGUUCGAGACUCGAUCGUCGGUAUCCCAAUACCUUGUUCAGUCUCGUUACCGGCAAGUUACUUUACUCGUACCGUAAUGCAUGAUCCCGUGAUCAACCACUUGAUCACAUUGAGCUCAUUAUGAUGAUGCAUUACCGAGUGGGCCUAGAGAUACCUCUCCGUCAUACGGAGUGACAAAUCCCAGACUCGAUUCGUGCCAACCCAACAGACACUUUCGGAGAUACCUGUAAUGUACCUUUAUAGUCACCCAGUUACGUUGUGACGUUUGGCACACCCAAGGCACUCCUACGGUAUCCGGGAGUUGCACAAUCUCAUGGUCUAUGGAAAUGAUACUUGACAUUCAGAAAAGCUACAGCAAACGAACUACACGAUCUUUGAGCUAAGCUUAGGAUUGGGUCUUGUCCAUCACAUCAUUCUCCUAAUGAUGUGAUCCCGUUAUCAAUGACAUCUAAUGUCCAUAGUCAGGAAACCAUGACUAUCCUUUGAUCAACAAGCUAGUCAACUAGAGGCUCACUAGGGACGUGUUGUGGUCUAUGUAUUCACACAUGUAUUACAAUUUCCGGAUAACACAAUUAUAGCAUGAACAAUAGACAAUUAUCAUGAACAAAGAAAUAUAAUAAUGACCAUUUUAUUAUUGCCUCUAGGGCAUAUUUCCAACACCCGGCAAGGUCACCCAGAGGCUGAUUGUCACAGGAAGCAGCGUGACCAGCGACGCUCCUCUUCCAGUGGGACUAAUGCGUCGCUCUCGAUCUCGUCACUCAAUGAUCAAGACAUUGUGAAGCUCAAGCGCCUCCUAGCUGCCUCUAGCUCCUCAUCGACUGGGUCUGCUGCUGCUGUUGUGUCUGCCAACUCUACUGCUGGUGCGACGGCUGUCACACCUCCGUCAUCAUCCGCCACUACACCGUCAGGUACAUCUUCGUGGGUUUUGGAUUCAGGAGCUUCUUUUCAUAUGUCUUCCGAUUCUUCUGCUUUUUCUUCUCUUCGACCUCUUAAUUCUAUUGUUAAUGUUCUUACUGCUGAUGGCACAUCUCUUCUAUCGCUAGUCGAGGCACUCUCUCUACCUCGCCGUUCUCAGUUGCUAGUGUCUCUCAUGUUCCUCAUCUUACCAUGAAUCUUUUUUUCCGCUUCCCAACUUACCAAUUCUGGUUGUCGUGUUAUUCUUGAUCCCGACUCUUGUUCUGUCCAGGACCUCCACACCAAGGCCCUAGUUGGUUCUGGCCCUCGGCACCGUGACUCAGAGGGCCUUUGGCAAGUUGACUGGCUUCAUGUUCCUUCCACUGCCACCACAUCAGCCAGUUCCCAUGCUCUCGCUGCCUCCUCUUCUGCGUCCUUCCAGCAGUGGCAUCAUCGCCUGGGUCACAUAUGUGGCUCUCGCUUAUCAUCCUUGGUGCGCCAGGGUGUCUUAGGGUCUAUUUCUGGAGAUGUUUCUUUACAUUGUGAGGGUUGUAGACUUGGCAAACAGACUCAGUUACCUUAUCCUCAUAGCGAGUUGGUGUCUCAGCGUCCUUUUGAUUUGAUUCACUCUGAUGUAUGGGGUCAUGCUCCCUUUGAUUCGAAAGGUGGUCAUCGCUACUAUGUGUUAUUUAUUGAUGAUUUCUCUCGCUACACUUGGCUUUACUUUAUGAAAUCUCGCAGUGAGGUCCUCUCCAUCUACAAGCGUUUUGCUGCCAUGGUUCACACCCAGUUUUCCACACCUAUUCGCACUUUCCGUGUUGACUCUGCUGGCGAGUUUAUCUUCCAAAUGUUGUGUGGUUUUCUCAUGGAGCAGGGUACUCUUGCCCAGUUCUCCUGUCCUGGUGCCCAUGCUCAGAAUGGUGUUGCCGAACGUAAACAUCGCCAUCUGCUUGAGACGGCUCAUGCUCUGAUGAUCGACGCUUCCCUUCCACCUCAUUUUUGGGCCGAGGCUGUGUCUGCAUCUACGUACCUUAUCAACAUUCAGCCAUCGACUACCUUGCAGGGUGGUAUUCCUAUGGAGCGUCUCACUGGUCGCUCUCCAGACUACUCUGCUCUUCGCAUGUUUGGGUGUGUGUGCUAUGUUCUUCUUGCUCCUCGAGAACGCAUCAAACUGACUGCUCAAUCGGUUGAGUGUGUUUUUCUCGGCUACAGCGACGAGCACAAGGGCUAUCGCUGUUGGGAUCCAGUUGGUCGUCGGCUGCGCAUUUCGUGUGAUGUAACCUUUGAUGAGUCCCAUUCAUACUACCCGCGUCCUCCCUCCUCAAGCUUCUCUCUGGAAGAUAUUUCUUUUCUUCUUCUUCCUGAUACAUCCUCUCAUGUGCCUCCUGUUUCAUCCCUUCCUCCGGUACCGCUCACUCAUCCUCCUCCAUCACCGUCACCACAGCCACCACUUUCACCUCCAUCCACCUCUCCCCCAUCCUCUCCAAUCUGUCGUCCUCUCUCUCCUUUUCCUCUUCAUUACACUCGUUGUCCUUGUCUUUGUGGAUGCUUCUACUGACACUCCCUCCACUUCCGGAGCCACUCCUUCCACGCCUCCCCCGGUUCACAACUUCCGUGCUCGGCCUUGCCCCGCACCUGAUCGCUACUCUCCUGACCAGUAUGGUCUCUCUGUUGUUGCCGAGCCCACCUCCUAUCAGACUGCCAUGACUCAACCUGAAUGGCAGCUUGCUAUGGCUGAGGAGCUUGCUGCUCUUGAGCACUCUGGCACAUGGGAUCUGGUUUCGCUUCCUUCUGGUGUUCGUCCCAUUACCUGCAAGUGGGUCUAUAAGAUUAAGACUCGCUCUGAUGGCUCUCUUGAGCGCUACAAAGCCCGUCUUGUGGCUCGUUGUUUUCAACAGGAGCAGGGACGUGAUUAUGAGGAGACCUUUGCUCCUGUGGCCCAUAUGACCAUUGUCCGCACUCUCCUUGCUGUUGCCUCUGUUCGACAUUGGUCUGUGUCUCAGCUUGAUGUCCAGAACGCAUUUCUCAAUGGUGAGUUGCGUGAGGAGGUUUACAUGCAGCCACCACCCGGAUACUAUGCUCAUGAUGGCAUGGUAUAUGUCGCCUUCGCCGCUCCCUCUAUGGCCUCAAACAAGCUCCUCGCGCCUGGUUUGAGCGCUUUGCCUCUGUUAUCACUGCCGCCGGCUUCUCACCCAGUGAUCAUGAUCCCGCGUUGUUUGUUCACACGUCUCCUCGUGGUCGGACUCUUCUCCUUCUCUAUGUUGAUGACAUGAUCAUUACGGGUGAUGACCUUGACUACAUUGGCUUUGUUAAGGCUCGCCUUCGUGACCAGUUCCUCAUGAAGGAUCUUGGUCCUCUUCGUUAUUUUCUUGGGAUUGAGGUCUCUUUGACCUCCGAUGGUUUUUUCAUCUCCCAGGAAAAAUAUAUCCAGGACCUUCUUGAUCGAGAUGCUCUUGGUGGUGAGUGCACUGUUGUGACUCCUAUGGAGCUCAACUUCCAGCUUCGUGCUUCUGAUGGUGAUCCUCUUCCCAAUCCUAGUCGCUAUCGCCACCUCGUUGGGAGUCUUGUCUAUCUCAUUGUCACGCGCCCUGACAUCUCCUACCCUGUCCAUAUCCUUAGUCAGUUUGUCUCGGCCCCCACCUCUGUCUCGGCCCCCACCUCUGUCCACUAUAGCCAUCUCCUUCGUGUUUUACGAUAUCUUCGUGGCACGAUCUCCCAUCUUCUCUUCUUUCCCCGCUCCAUCUCUCUCGAGCUCCAGGCCUACUCGGAUGCUACCCGGGCUAGUGAUCCCUCUGAUCGACGUUCCCUGUCUACUUACUGUGUUUUUCUUGGUGGCUCCCUGAUUGCCUGGAAGACGAAGAAACAGACUGCAGUUUCUCGCUCGAGUACAGAGGCUGAGUUACGAGCAAUGACUAUGUUGACGGCUGAAGUGAUCUGGUUACGAUGGCUACUUGAGGAUUUUGGUGUGUCGACUACUACCUCGACUCCCUUACUGUCAGACAGCACCGGAGCUAUCAGUAUUGCCUAUGAUGUUGGGUUUCGUAGUAAUUUCAAAAAAUUUCCGACGCACACGCAAGAUCAUGGUGAUGCAUAGCAACGAGAGGGGGAGAGUGUGAUCUACGUACCCUUGUAGAUCGACAACAGAAGCGUUAACUUGGUUAAUGUAGUCAUACGUCUCCACGGCCCGACCGAUCAAGCACCGAAACUACGGCGCCUCCGAGUUCUAGCACACGUUCAGCUUGAUGACGAUCCCCGGACUCCGAUCCAGCAAAGUGUCGGGGAAGAGUUCCGUCAGCACGACAGCGUGGUGACGAUCUUGAUGUACUACCGUCGCAGGGCUUCGCCUAAGCACCGCUACAAUAUUAUCGAGGACUAUGGUGGAAGGGGGCACCACACACGGCUAAGAAUAUGAUCACGUGGAUCAACUUGUGUCUCUAGGGGUGCCCCGUGCCUCCGUAUAUAAAGGCUCAAAGGGGGGGCUGGCCGGCCAAGAGGUGGCACGCCAGGAGGAGUCCUACUCCUUCCGGGAGUANNNNNNNNNNNNNNNNNNNNNNNNNNNNNNNNNNNNNNNNNNNNNNNNNNNNNNNNNNNNNNNNNNNNNNNNNNNNNNNNNNNNNNNNNNNNNNNNNNNNNNNNNNNNNNNNNNNNNNNNNNNNNNNNNNNNNNNNNNNNNNNNNNNNNNNNNNNNNNNNNNNNNNNNNNNNNNNNNNNNNNNNNNNNNNNNNNNNNNNNNNNNNNNNNNNNNNNNNNNNNNNNNNNNNNNNNNNNNNNNNNNNNNNNNNNNNNNNNNNNNNNNNNNNNNNNNNNNNNNNNNNNNNCCCCUCUCCUUGUCCUAUUCGGACCAAAGGGGGGAGGGGCGCGCGGCCCAUCUCUGGCCACCUCUCCUCUCUUCCACUAAGGCCCACUAAGGCCCAUAUACCUCCCGGGGGGUUCCGGUAACCUCCCGGUAAUCCGGUAAAAUCCCGAUUUCACCCGGAACGCUUCCGACAUCCAAAUAUAGGCUUCCAAAAUAUUAAUCUUUAUGUCUCGACCAUUUCGAGACUCCUCGUCAUGUCCGUGAUCACAUCCGGGACUCCGAACAAACUUCGGUACAUCAAAAUGCAUAAACUCAUAAUAUAACUGUCAUCGUAACCUUAAGCGUGCGGACCCUACAAGUUCGAGAACAAUGUAGACAUGACCGAGACACGUCUCCGGUCAAUAACCAAUAGCGAAACCUGGAUGCUCAUAUUGACUCCUACAUAUUCUACGAAGAUCUUUUAUCGGUCAGACCGCAUAACAACAUACGUUGUUCCCUUUGUCAUCGGUAUGUUACUUUCUCGAGAUUCGAUCGUCGGUAUCCAAUACCUAGUUCAAUCUCGUUACCGGCAAGUCUCUUUACUCGUUCUGUAAUACAUCAUCCUGCAACUAACUCAUUAGUUGCAAUGCUUGCAAGGCUUCAGUGAUGUGCAUUACCGAGAGGGCCCAGAGAUACCUCUCCGACAAUCGGAGUGACAAAUCCUAAUCUCGAAAUACGCCAACCCAACAUGUACCUUUGGAGACACCUGUAGAGCUCCUUUAUAAUCACCCAGUUACGUUGUGACGUUUGGUAGCACAUAAAGCGUUCCUCCGGCAAACGGGAGUUGCAUAAUCUCAUAGUCAUAGGAACAUGUAUAAGUCAUGAAGAAAGCAAUAGCAACAUACUAAACGAUCGGGGUGCUAAGCUAAUGGAAUGGGUCAUGUCAAUUGGAUCAUUCAACUAAUGAUGUGAUCUCGUUAAUCAAAUAACAACUCCUUGUCCAUGGUUAGGAAACAUAACCAUCUUUGAUUAACGAGCUAGUCAAGUAGAGGCAUACUAGUGACACUCUGUUUAACUAUGUAUUCACACAUGUAUUAUGUUUCCAGUUAAUACAAUUCUAGCAUGAAUAAUAAACUUUUAUCAUGAUAUAAGGAAAUAAAUAAUAACUUUAUUAUUGCCUCUAGGGCAUAUUUCCUUCAGUCUCCCACUUGCACUAGAGUCAAUAAUCUAGAUUAUACUGUAAUGAUUCUAACACCCAUGGAGCCUUGGUGCUGAUCAUGUUUUGCUCGUGGAAGAGGCUUAGUCAACGGGUCUGCUACAUUCAGAUCCGUAUGUAUCUUGCAAAUCUCUAUGUCUCCCACCUGGACUAGAUCCCGGAUGGAAUUGAAGCGUCUCUUGACGUGCUUGGUUCUCUUGUGAAAUCUGGAUUCCUUCGCCAAGGCAAUUGCACCAGUAUUGUCACAAAAGAUUUUCAUUGGACCCGAAGCACUAGGUAUGAGACCUAGAUCGGAUAUGAACUCCUUCAUCCAGACUCCUUCGUUUGCUGCUUCCGAAGCAGCUAUGUACUCCGCUUCACAUGUAGAUCCCGCCACGACGCUUUGUUUAGAACUGCACCAACUGACAGCUCCACCGUUUAAUGUAAACACGUAUCCGGUUUGCGAUUUAGAAUCGUCCGGAUCAGUGUCAAAGCUUGCAUCCACGUAACCGUUUACAAUGAGCUCUUUGUCACCUCCAUAUACGAGAAACAUAUCCUUAGUCCUUUUAAGGUACUUCAGGAUGUUCUUGACCGCUGUCCAGUGAUCCACUCCUGGAUUACUUUGGUACCUCCCUGCUAGACUUAUAGCAAGGCACACAUCAGGUCUGGUACACAGCAUUGCAUACAUGAUAGAGCCUAUGGCUGAAGCAUAGGGAACAUCUUUCAUUUUCUCUCUAUCUUCUGCAGUGGUCGGGCAUUGAGUCUGACUCAACUUCACACCUUGUAACACAGGCAAGAACCCUUUCUUUGCUUGAUCCAUUUUGAACUUCUUCAAAACUUUGUCAAGGUAUGUGCUUUGUGAAAGUCCAAUUAAGCGUCUUGAUCUAUCUCUAUAGAUCUUAAUGCCUAAUAUGUAAGCAGCUUCACCGAGGUCUUCCAUUAAAAAACUCUUAUUCAAGUAUCCCUUUAUGCUAUCCAGAAAUUCUAUAUCAUUUCCAAUCAGUAAUAUGUCAUCCACAUAUAAUAUCAGAAAUGCUACAGAGCUCCCACUCACUUUCUUGUAAAUACAGGCUUCUCCAAAAGUUUGCAUAAAACCAAAUGCUUUGAUCACACUAUCAAAGCGUUUAUUCCAACUCCGAGAGGCUUGCACCAGUCCAUAAAUGGAUCGCUGGAGCUUGCACACUUUGUUAGCUCCCUUUGGAUCGACAAAACCCUCUGGUUGCAUCAUAUACAACUCUUCUUCCAGAAAUCCAUUUAGGAAUGCAGUUUUGACAUCCAUCUGCCAAAUUUCAUAAUCAUAAAAUGCGGCAAUUGCUAACAUGAUUUGGACAGACUUAAGCAUCGCUACGGGUGAGAAGGUCUCAUCGUAGUCAAUCCCUUGAACUUGCCGAAACCCUUUUGCGGCAAGUCGAGCUUUGUAGACAGUAAUAUUACCGUCGGCGUCAGUCUUCUUCUUGAAGAUCCAUUUAUUCUUGAUUGCUUGCCGAUCAUUGGGCAAGUCAACCAAAGUCCACACUUUGUUCUCAUACAUGGAUCCCAUCUCAGAUUUCAUGGCUUCAAGCCAUUUUGCGGAAUCUGGGAUCACCAUCGCUUCUUCAUAGUUCGUAGGUUCAUCAUGAUCUAGUAGCAUGACUUCCAGAACAGGAUUACCGUACCACUCUGGCGCGGAUCUCACUCUGGUUGAUCUACGAGGUUCAGUAGUGUCUUGUUUUGAAGUUUCAUGAUCAUUAUCAUUAGCUUCCUCACUAAUUGGUGUAGGUGCCACAAAAACAGUUUUCUGUGAUGCACUACUUUCCAAUAAGGGAGCAGGUACAGUUACCUCGUCAAGUUCUACUUUCCUCCCACUCACUUCUUUCGAGAGAAACUCCUUCUCCAGAAAGUUUCCGAACUUAGCAAAAAAAGUCUUGCCUUCGGAUCUGUGAUAGAAGGUGUAUCCAAUAGUCUCCUUUGGAUAUCCUAUGAAGACACAUUUCUCCGAUUUGGGUUCGAGCUUAUCAGGUUGAAGCUUUUUCACAUAAGCAUCGCAGCCCCAAACUUUCAGAAAUGACAACUUUGGUUUCUUGCCAAACCAUAGUUCAUAAGGCGUCGUCUCAACGGAUUUUGAUGGUGCCCUAUUAACGUGAAUGCGGCCGUCUCCAAAGCAUAACCCCAAAAUGAUAGCGGUAAAUCAGUAAGAGACAUCAUAGAUCGCACCAUAUCUAGUAAAGUACGAUUACGACGUUCGGACACACCAUUACGCUGUGGUGUUCCGGGUGGCGUGAGUUGCGAAACUAUUCCGCAUUGUUUCAAAUGUACACCAAACUCGUAACUCAAAUAUUCUCCUCCACGAUCAGAUCGUAGAAACUUUAUUUUCUUGUUACGAUGAUUUCAAACUUCACUCUGAAAUUCUUUAAACUUUUCAAGCGUUUCAGACUUAUGUUUCAUUAAGUAGAUAUACCCAUAUCUGCUUAAGUCAUCUGUGAAGGUGAGAAAAUAACGAUAUCCGCCACGAGCCUCAAUAUUCACCGGACCACAUACAUCUGUAUGUAUGAUUUCCAACAAAUCUGUUGCUCUCUCCAUAGUACCGGAGAACGACGUUUUAGUCAUCUUGCCCAUGAGGCACGGUUCGCAAGUACCAAGUGAUUCAUAAUCAAGUGGUUCCAAAAGUCCAUCAGUAUGGAGUUUCUUCAUGCGCUUUACACCGAUAUGACCUAAACGGCAGUGCCACAAAUAAGUUGCACUAUCAUUAUCAACUCUGCAUCUUUUGGCUUGAACAUUAUGAAUAUGUGUGUCACUAGUAUCGAGAUUCAAUAAGAAUAGACCAUUCUUCAAGGGUGCAUGACCAUAAAAGAUAUUACUCAUAUAAAUAGAACAACCAUUAUUCUCUGAUUUAAAUGAAUAACCGUCUCGCAUCAAACAAGAUCCAGAUAUAAUGUUCAUGCUUAACGCUGGCACCAAAUAACAAUUAUUUAGGUCCAAUAUUAAUCCCGAAGGUAGAUGUAGAGGUAGCGCGCCGACUGCGAUCACAUCGACUUUGGAACCGUUUCCCACGCGCAUCGUCACCUCGUCCUUAGCCAAUCUUCGCUUAAUUCAUAGUCCCUGUUUCGAGUUGCAAAUAUUAGCAACAGAACCAGUAUCAAAUACCCAGGUGCUACUGCGAGCAUUAGUAAGGUACACAUCAAUAACAUGUAUAUCACAUAUACCUUUGUUCACCUUGCCAUCCUUCUUAUCCGCCAAAUACUUGGGGUAGUUCCGCUUCCAGUGACCGGUCUGCUUGCAGUAGAAGCACUCAGUUUCAGGCUUAGGUCCAAACUUGGAUUUCUUCUCUUGAGCAGCAACUUGCUUGCAGUUCUUCUUGAAGUUCCCCUUCUUCUUCCCUUUGCCCUUUUUCUUGGAACUAGUGGUCUUGUUGACCAUCAACACUUGAUGCUCCUUCUUGAUUUCUACCUCCGCAGCUUUCAUCAUUGCGAAGAGCUCGGAAAUAGUCUUAUUCAUCCCUUGCAUAUUAUAGUUCAUCACGAAGCUCUUGUAGCUUGGUGGAAGUGAUUGGAGAAUUCUGUCAAUGACGCUAUCAUCCGGAAGAUUAACUCCCAGUUGAAUCAAGUGAUUACAAUACCCAGACAUCUUGAGUAUAUGCUCACUGACAGAACUAUUCUCCUCCAUCUUGCAGCUAUAGAACUUAUUGGAGACUUCAUAUCUCUCAAUCCGAGCAUUUGCUUGAAAUAUUAACUUCAACUCCUGGAACAUCUCAUAUGCCCCAUGACGUUCAAAACGUCGUUGAAGUCUCGGUUCUAAGCCGUAAAGCAUGGCACAUUGAACUAUCGAGUAGUCAUCAGCUUUGCUCUGCCAGACGUUCAUAACAUCUGGCGUUGCUCCAGCAGCAGGCUGUUGGGGAACGUUGCAGAAAAUUAAAAUUUUUCCUACGGUUUCACCAAGAUCCAUCUAUGAGUUCAUCUAAGCAACGAGUCGAGGGAAUGAGUUUGCAUCUACAUACCACUUGUAGAUCGCGUGCGGAAGCUUGCAAGGUGAUGAUGGAGUCGUACUCAACGUGAUUCGAAUCACCGAUGACCAAGUGCUGAACGGACAGCACCUCCGCGUUCAACACACGUACGGGACGGGAGACGUCUCCUCCUUCUUGAUCCAGCAAGGGGGAAGGAGAGGUUGAGGAAGACAGCUCCACCAGCAGCACGACGGCGUGGUGAUGGUGGAGAAGCAGUACUCCGACAGGGCUUCGCCAAGCACACAACGGAGGAGGAGAGGUGUUGGGGAGGGGAGGGCUGCGCCUUGGAGGGUGGUCGCGGCUGCCCUCCCCUCACCCCUCUAUUUAUAGGGAGAAGGGAGAAGGGGGCCGGCCCCUCUAGAACCCAUCUAGAGGGGGGGCGGCGGCCAAGGGGAGAGGGGGAGAGGGUGGCUUGCCCCCCAAGCCAAGGGGGCGCCCCCUCUAGGGUUCCCCCCUCAACCCUAGGCGCAAGGGCCCAAGGGAGGGGGUGCGCCCAGCCCACCAGGGGCUGGCUCCCUGCCCCACGCAGCCCAUGUGGUCCCCCGGGAGGGGUGGCCCCUCCCGGUGGACCCCCGGAACCCUUCCGGUGGCCCCGGUACAAUACCGGUAUGACCCCGAAACUUCCCGGUGCCCGUUUGACAACUUCCCAUAUAUAAAUCUUUACCUCCGGACCCUUCCGGAGCUCCUCGUGACGUCCGGGAUCCCAUCCGGGACUCCGAACAACAUUCGGUAGUCACAUACUAGUCUUCCUAAUAACCCUAGCGUCACCGAACCUUAAGUGUGUAGACCCUACGGGUUCGGGAGACAUGCAGACAUGACCGAGACGCUCUCAGGUCAAUAACCAACAGCGGGAUCUAGAUACCCAUGAUGGCUCCCACAUGUUCCUCGAUGUUGUCAUCGGAUGAACCACGAUGUCGAGGAUUCGAUCAAACCCUGUAUACAAUUCCCUUUGUCAAUCGGUACGUUACUUGCCCGAGACUCGAUCGUCGGUAUCCCAAUACCUUGUUCAGUCUCGUUACCGGCAAGUCACUUUACUCGUACCGUAAUGCAUGAUCCCGUGUCCAACACCUUGGUCACAUUGAGCUCAUUUUGAUGAUGCAUUACCGAGUGGGCCCAGAGAUACCUCUCCGUCAUACGGAGUGACAAAUCCCAGUCUCGAUCCGUGUCAACCCAACAGAUAAUUUCGGAGAUACCUGUAAUGCACCUUUAUAGUCACCCAGUUACGUUGUGACGUUUGAUACACCCAAGGCACUCUUACGGUAUCCGGGAGUUACACGAUCUCAUGGUCGAAGGAAGAGAUACUUGACAUUGGCAAAGCUCUAGCAAAACGAACUACACGAUCUUUUAUGCUAUGCUUAGUAUUGGGUCUUGUCCAUCACAUCAUUCUCCUAAUGAUGUGAUCCCGUUAUCAACGACAUCCAAUGUCCAUAGUCAGGAAACCAUGACUAUCUGUUGAUCACAACGAGCUAGUCAACUAGAGGCUCACCAGGGACAUAUUGUGGUCUAAGUAUUCACACGUGCAUUAUGAUUUCCGGAUAAUACAGUUAUAGCAUGAAUAAAAGACAUUUAUCAUGAACAUUGAAAUAUAAUAAUACUUUUAUUAUUGCCUCUAGGGCAUAUUUCCAACAGUCUCCCACUUGCACUAGAGUCACCAAUCUAGUUACAUUGUGAUGAAUCGAACACCCAUAGAGUUCUGGUGUUGAUCAUGUUUUGCACGCGAGAGAGGUUUAGUCAGCGGAUCUGCGACAUUCAGAUCCGUGUGCACUUUGCAAAUCUCUAUGUCUCCAUCUUGAACAUUUUCACGGAUGGAGUUGAAACGACGCUUGAUGUGCCUGGUCUUCUUGUGAAACCUGGGCUCCUUGGCGAGGGCAAUAGCUACAGUGUUGUCACAGAAGAGUUUGAUCGGCCCCGACGCAUUGGGUAUGACUCCUAGGUCGGUGAUGAACUCCUUCACCCAAAUCGCUUCAUGCGCUGCCUCCGAGGCUGCCAUGUACUCCGCUUCACACGUAGAUCCCGCCACGAUGCUCUGCUUGCAGCUGCACCAGCUUACUGCUCCACCAUUCAACAUAUACACGUAUCCGGUUUGUGACUUAGAGUCAUCCAGAUCUGAGUCGAAGCUAGCGUCGACGUAACCCUUUACGACGAGCUCUUCGUCUCCUCCAUAAAUGAGAAACAUGUCCUUCGUCCUUUUCAGGUACUUCAGGAUAUUCUUGACCGCUGUCCAGUGUUCCUUGCCGGGAUUACUUUGGUAUCUUGCUACCAAACUUACGGCAAGUUUUACAUCGGGUCUGGUACACAGCAUGGCAUACAUAAUAGAUCCUAUGGCUGAAGCAUAGGGGAUGACACUCAUCUCUUCUUUAUCUUUUGCCGUGGUCGGUGACUGAGCCGAGCUCAGUCUCACACCUUGUAACAUAGGCAAGAACCCCUUCUUGGACUGAUCCAUUUUGAACCUCUUCAAAAUCUUAUCAAGGUAUGUGCUUUGCGAAAGACCUAUGAGGCGUCUCGAUCUAUCUCUAUAGAUCUUGAUGCCUAAUAUAUAAGCAGCUUCUCCAAGGUCCUUCAUUGAAAAACACUUAUUCAAGUAGGCCUUAAUGUUGUCCAGAAAUUCUAUAUUAUUUCCCAUCAAGAGUAUGUCAUCUACAUAUAAUAUGAGAAAUGCUACAGAGCUCCCACUCACUUUCUUGUAAACGCAGGCUUCUCCAUAAGUCUGCAUAAACCCAAACGCUUUGAUCAUCUCAUCAAAGCGAAUGUUCCAACUCCGAGAUGCUUGCACCAGUCCAUAAAUGGAUCGCUGGAGCUUGCAUACUUUGUUAGCGUUCCGAGGAUCGACAAAACCUUCCGGCUGCAUCAUAUACAGCUCUUCCUUAAGAUGUCCGUUAAGGAAUGCCGUUUUGACGUCCAUCUGCCAUAUCUCAUAAUCAUAGUAUGCGGCAAUUGCUAACAUGAUUCGGACGGACUUCAGCUUCGCUACGGGAGAGAAAGUCUCGUCGUAGUCAAUCCCUUGAACUUAUCGAUAACCCUUAGCGACAAGUCGAGCCUUAUAGAUGGUAACAUUACCAUCCGCGUCCGUCUUCUUCUUAAAAAUCCAUUUGUUUUCUAUCGCUCGCCAAUCAUCGGGCAAGUCUGUCAAAGUCCAUACUUUGUUUUCAUACAUGGAUUCUAUCUCGGAUUUCAUGGCUUCAAGCCAUUUGUUGGAAUCCGGGCCCGCCAUCGCUUCUUCAUAGUUCGAAGGUUCAUUGUUGUCUAACAACAUGAUUUCCAGGACAGGGUUGCCGUACCACUCUGGUGCGGAACGUGUCCUUGUGGACCUAUGAAGUUCAGUAGUAACUUGAUCCGAAGUACCUUGAUCAUCAUCAUUGUUUUCCUCUUCAGUUGGUGUGGGCAUCACAGGAACAUUUUCCUGAGCUGCACCACUUUCCCGUUCGAGAGGUAGUACUUCAUCGAGUUCUACUUUCCUCCCACUUACUUCUUUCGAGAGAAACUCUUUUUCCAGAAAGCAUCCGUUCUUGGCAACAAAGAUCUUGCCUUCGGAUCUUAAGUAGAAGGUAUACCCGACAAUUUCCUUAGGGUAUCCUAUGAAUACGCAUUUUUCCGACUUGGGUUCGAGCUUUUCAGGUUGAAGUUUCUUGACAUAAGCAUCGCAUCCCCAAACUUUUAGAAACGACAGCUUAGGUUUCUUUCCAAACCAUAAUUCAUACGGUGUCGUCUCAACGGAUUUAGACGGUGCCCUAUUUAAAGUGAAUGUAGCUGUCUCUAGAGCGUAUCCCCAAAAUGAUAGCGGUAAAUUGGUAAGAGACAUCAUAGACCGCACCAUAUCCAAUAGAGUGCGAUUACGACGUUCGGACACACCGUUUCGCUGAGGUGUUCCAGGCGGCGUGAGUUGUGAAACGAUUCCACAUUUCCUUAAGUGUGUACCAAAUUCGUGACUUAAGUAUUCUCCUCCACGAUCUGAUCGUAAGAAUUUUAUCUUUCGAUCACGUUGAUUCUCUACCUCAUUCUGAAAUUCCUUGAACUUUUCAAAGGUUUCAGACUUGUGUUUCAUUAAGUAGACAUACCCAUAUCUACUCAAGUCAUCAGUGAGAGUGAGAACAUAACGAUAUCCUCCGCGAGCCUCAACGCUCAUUGGACCGCACACAUCGGUAUGUAUGAUUUCCAACAAGUUGGUUGCUCGCUCCAUUGUUCCGGAGAACGGAGUCUUGGUCAUUUUGCCCAAGAGGCAUGGUUUGCAUGUGUCAAACGAUUCAUAAUCAAGAGACUCCAAAAGUUCAUCAGCAUGGAGCUUCUUCAUGCGCUUGACACCAAUGUGACCAAGGCGGCAGUGCCACAAGUAUGUGGGACUAUCGUUAUCAAUUUUACAUCUUUUGGCAUCUACACUAUGAACAUGUGUAAUAUUACGCUCGAGAUUCAUUAAGAAUAAACCAUUGACCAUCGGAGCAUGACCAUAAAACAUAUCUCUCAUAUAAAUCGAACAACCAUUACUCUCAGACUUAAAUGAGUAGCCAUCUCGUAUUAAACGAGAUCCAGAUACAAUGUUCAUGCUCAAACUUGGCACUAAAUAACAAUUAUUAAGGUUCAAAACCAAUCCCGUAGGUAAAUGUAGAGGCAGCGUGCCGACGGCGAUCACAUCGACUCUGGAACCAUUCCCGACGCGCAUCGUCACCUCGUCCUUCGCCAGUCUCCGUUUAUUCCGCAGCUCCUGCUGUGAGUUACAAAUAUGAGCAACGGCACCGGUAUCAAAUACCCAGGAGUUACUACGAGUACUGGUAAGGUACACAUCAAUUACAUGUAUAUCAAAUAUACCUUUGGUUUUGCCGGCCUUCUUAUCUGCUAAGUAUUUGGGGCAGUUCCGCUUCCAGUGACCCUUCCCCUUGCAAUAAAAGCACUCAGUCUCAGGCUUAGGUCCAUUCUUUGACUUCUUCCCGGUAACUGGCUUACCAGGCGCGGCAACAUCUUUGCCGUCCUUCUUGAAGUUCUUCUUACCCUUGCCCUUCUUGAACUUAGUGGUCUUAUUGACCAUCAACACUUGAUGUUCUUUCUUGAUUUCAGCCUCUGCUGACUUCAGCAUUGAGAACACUUCAGGAAUGGUCUUUACCAUCCCCUGCAUGUUGUAGUUCAUCACAAAGCUCUUGUAGCUUGGUGGGAGCGACUGGAGGAUUCUGUCAAUGACCGCCUCAUCUGGGAGGUUAAUGUUCAGCUGGGUCAUACGGUUGUGCAACCCAGACAUCUUCAGGAUGUGCUCACUGACAGAACUGUUUUCCUCCAUCUUACAACUGUAGAACUUGUCGGAGACAUCAUAUCUCUCGACCCGGGCAUGAGCUUGGAAAACUAGUUUCAGCUCUUCGAACAUCUCAAAUGCUCCGUGAUGCUCAAAACGCUUUUGGAGCCCCAGUUCUAAGCUGUAAAGCAUGCCGCACUGAACGAGGGAGUAAUCAUCAGCGCGAGUUUGCCAAGCAUUCAUAAUGUCUUGGUUCUCUGGGACGGGAGCGUCACCUAGCGGUCCUUCUAGGACAUAUUGUUUCCUGGCAGCUAUGAGGAUGAUCCUCAGGUUCCGGACCCAGUCCGUAUAGUUGCUGCCAUCAUCUUUCAGCUUGGUUUUCUCUAGGAACGCGUUGAAGUUCAUGUUGACAUGAGCGUUGGCCAUUUGAUCUACAAGACAUAUUUGCAAAGGUUUUAGACUAAGUUCAUGAUAAUUAAGUUCUAAUCAAAUUAUGAACUCCCACUCAGAUUAGACAUCCCUUUAGUCAUCUAAGUGUUACACGAUCCGAGUCGACUAGGCCGUGUCCGGUCAUCACGUGAGACGGACUAGUCAUCGUCGGUGAACAUUCUCAUGUUGAUCGUAUCUUCCAUACGACUCGUGUUCGACCUUUCGGUCUCCGUGUUCCGAGGCCAUGUCUGCACAUGCUAGGCUCGUCAAGUUAACCCUAAGUGUUUUCGCUGUGUAAAACUGUCUUACACCCGUUGUAUGUGAACGUAAGAAUCCAUCACACCCGAUCAUCACGUGGUGCUUAGAAGCGACGAACUGUAGCAACGGUGCACAGUUAGGGGAGAACACUUCUUGAAAUUUUUUUGUAAGGGAUCAUCUUAUUUACUACCGUCGUCCUAAGUAAACAAGAUGCAUAAACAUAAUAAACAUCACAUGCAAUUAUAUAGUUGUGACAUGAUAUGGCCAAUAUCAUAUAGCUCCAUUGAUCUUCAUCUUCGGGGCUCCAUGAUCAUCUUGUCACCGGCUUGACACCAUGAUCUCCAUCAUCAUGAUCUCCAUCAUCGUGUCUUCACGAAGUUGUCACGCCAACGACUACUUCUACUUCUAUGGCUAACGCGUUUAGCAAUAAAGUAAAGUGAGUUACAUGGCGUUCUUCAAUGACACGCAGGUCAUACAAAAAAUAAAGACAACUCCUAUGGCUCCUGCCGGUUGUCAUACUCAUCGACAUGCAAGUCGUGAAUCCUAUUACAAAGAACAUGAUCUCAUACAUCACAAUUCAUCAUUCAUCACAACUUCUGGCCAUAUCACAUCACAUGAUCAAUCGCUGCAAAAACAAGUUAGACGUCCUCUAAUUGUUGUUGCAUCUUUUACGUGGCUGCAAUUGGGUUCUAGCAAGAACGUUUUCUUACCUACGAAUAACCACAACGUGAUUUUGUCAAUUUCUAUUUACCCUUCAUAAGGGCCCUGUUCAUCGAAUCCGCUCCAACUAAAGUGGGAGAGACAGAGACCCGCCAGCCACCUUAUGCAACUAGUGCAUGUCAGUCGGUGGAACCGGUCUCACGUAAGCGUACGUGUAAGGUUGGUCCGGGCCACUUCAUCCCACAAUACCGCCGAAGCAAGAAAAUACUAGUAGAGGCAAGUAAGAUGACAAAAUCCACGCCCACAACAAAAUUGUGUUCUACUCAUGCAAAGAGAACUACGCAUAGACCUAGCUCAUGAUGCCACUGUUGGGGAACGUUGCAGAAAAUUAAAAUUUUUCCUACGGUUUCACCAAGAUCCAUCUAUGAGUUCAUCUAAGCAACGAGUCGAGGGAAUGAGUUUGCAUCUACAUACCACUUGUAGAUCGCGUGCGGAAGCUUGCAAGGUGAUGAUGGAGUCGUACUCGACGUGAUUCGAAUCACCGAUGACCAAGUGCUGAACGGACAGCACCUCCGCGUUCAACACACGUACGGGACGGGAGACGUCUCCUCCUUCUUGAUCCAGCAAGGGGGAAGGAGAGGUUGAGGAAGACAGCUCCACCGGCAGCAUGACGGCGUGGUGAUGGUGGAGAAGCAGUACUCCGACAGGGCUUCGCCAAGCACACAACGGAGGAGGAGAGGUGUUGGGGAGGGGAGGGCUGCGCCUUGGAGGGUGGUCGCGGCUGCCCUCCCCUCACCCCUCUAUUUAUAGGGAGAAGGUAGAAGGGGGCCGGCCCCUCUAGAACCCAUCUAGAGGGGGGGCGGCGGCCAAGGGGAGAGGGGGAGAGGGUGGCUUGCCCCCCAAGCCAAGGGGGCGCCCCCUCUAGGGUUCCCCCCUCAACCCUAGGCGCAAGGGCCCAAGGGAGGGGGUGCGCCCAGCCCACCAGGGGCUGGCUCCCUGCCCCACGCAGCCCAUGUGGUCCCCCGGGAGGGGUGGCCCCUCCCGGUGGACCCCCGGAACCCUUCCGGUGGCCCCGGUACAAUACCGGUAUGACCCCGAAACUUCCCGGUGCCCGUUUGACAACUUCCCAUAUAUAAAUCUUUACCUCCGGACCCUUCCGGAGCUCCUCGUGACGUCCGGGAUCCCAUCCGGGACUCCGAACAACAUUCGGUAGUCACAUACUAGUCUUCCUAAUAACCCUAGCGUCACCGAACCUUAAGUGUGUAGACCCUACGGGUUCGGGAGACAUGCAGACAUGACCGAGACGCUCUCAGGUCAAUAACCAACAGUGGGAUCUGGAUACCCAUGAUGGCUCCCACAUGCUCCUCGAUGUUGUCAUCGGAUGAACCACGAUGUCGAGGAUUCGAUCAAACCCUGUAUACAAUUCCCUUUGUCAAUCGGUACGUUACUUGCCCAAGACUCGAUCGUCGGUAUCCCAAUACCUUGUUCAGUCUCGUUACCGGCAAGUCACUUUACUCGUACCGUAAUGCAUGAUCCCGUGUCCAACACCUUGGUCACAUUGAGCUCAUUUUGAUGAUGCAUUACCGAGUGGGCCCAGAGAUACCUCUCCGUCAUACGGAGUGACAAAUCCCAGUCUCGAUCCGUGUCAACCCAACAGAUACUUUCUGAGAUACCUGUAAUGCACCUUUAUAGUCACCCAGUUACGUUGUGACGUUUGAUACACCCAAGGCACUCUUACGGUAUCCGGGAGUUACACGAUCUCAUGGUCGAAGGAAGAGAUACUUGACAUUGGCAAAGCUCUAGCAAAACGAACUACACGAUCUUUUAUGCUAUGCUUAGUAUUGGGUCUUGUCCAUCACAUCAUUCUCCUAAUGAUGUGAUCCCGUUAUCAACGACAUCCAAUGUCCAUAGUCAGGAAACCAUGACUAUCUGUUGAUCACAACGAGCUAGUCAACUAGAGGCUCACCAGGGACAUAUUGUGGUCUAAGUAUUCACACGUGUAUUACGAUUUCCGGAUAAUACAGUUAUAGCAUGAAUAAAAGACAUUUAUCAUGAACAUUGAAAUAUAAUAAUACUUUUAUUAUUGCCUCUAGGGCAUAUUUCCAACACAGGCCUGGCACCCAGCGGUGCUUCCAGGACGUAAUUCUUCUGUGCAGCAAUGAGGAUAAUCCUCAAGUUACGGACCUAGUCCGUGUAAUUGCUACCAUUAUCUUUCAACUUUGCUUUCUCAAGGAACGCAUUAAAAUUCAACGGAACAACAGCACGGGCCAUCUAUCUACAAUCAAACAUACAUACGCAAGAUACUAUCAGGUACUAAGUUCAUGAUAAAUUUAGGUUCAAUUAAUUAUAUUACUUAAAGAACUCCCACUUAGAUAGACAUCCCUCUAAUCCUCUAAGUGAUUAUGUGAUCCAAGUCAACUAAACCAUGUCCAAUCAUCACGUGAGAUGGAGUAUUUUCAUUGGUGAACAUCACUAUGUUGAUCAUAUCUACUAUAUGAUUCACGCUCGACCUUUCGAUCUCCGUGUUCCGAGGCCAUAUCUGUAUAUGCUUGGCUCGUCAAGUAUAACCUGAGUAUUCUGCGUGUGCAACUGUUUUGCACCCGUUGUAUUUGAACGUAGAGCCUAUCACACCCGAUCAUUACGUGGUGUCUCAGCACGAAGAACUUUCGCAACGGUGCAUACUCAGGGAGAACACUUCUUAAUAAUUAGUGAGAGAUCAUCUUAUAAUGCUACCAUCAAUCAAAGCAAGAUAAGAUGCAUAAAAGAUAAACAUCACAUGCAAUCAAUAUAAGUGAUAAGAUAUGGCCAUCAUCAUCUUGUGCUUGUGAUCUCCAUCCUCGAAGCACCAUCGUGAUCACCAUCGUCACCGGCGCGACACCUUGAUCUCCAUCGUAGCAUCGUUGUCAUCUCGCCAAUCUCAUGCUUCCACGACUAUCGCUACCGCUUAGUGAUAAAGUAAAGCAUUACAGCGCGAUUGCAUUGCAUACAAUAAAGCGACAACCAUAUGGCUCCUGCCAGUUGCCGAUAACUUGGUUACAAAACAUGAUCAUCUCAUACAAUAAAAUUUAGCAUCAUGUCUUGACCAUAUCACAUCACAACAUGUCCUGCAAAAACAAGUUAGACGUCUUUUACUUUGUUGUUGCAAGUUUUACGUGGCUGCUAUGGGCUUAAGCAAGAACCAAUCUUACCUACGUAUCAAAACCACAAUGAUAGUUUGUCAAGUUGGUGCUGUUUUAACCUUUGCAAAGACCGGGCGUAGCCAUACUCAGUUCAACUAAAGUUGGAGAAAUUGUCACCCGCUAGCCACCUUUGUGCAAAGCACGUCGGGAGAACCGGUCUCGCGUAAGCGUACGCGUAAUGUCGGUCCGGGCCGCUUCGUCCAACAAUACCGCCGAACCAAAGUAUGACAUGCUGGUAAGCAGUAUGACUUAUAUCGCCCACAACUCACUUGUGUUCUACUCGUGCAUAUAACAUCAACACAUAAAACCUAGGCUCUGAUGCCACUGUUGGGUUCCGUAGUAAUUUCAUAAAAAUUCCUACGCACACGCAAGAUCAUGGUGAUGCAUAGCAACGAGAGGGGGAGAGUGUGAUCUACGUACCCUUGUAGAUCGACAACGGAAGCGUUAACUUGGUUGAUGUAGUCGUACGUCUCCACGGCCCGACCGAUCAAGCACCGAAACUGCGACACCUCCGAGUUCUAGCACACGUUCAGCUCGAUGACGAUCCCCGAACUCCGAUCCAGCAAAGUGUCGGGGAAGAGUUCCGUCAGCACGACGGCGCGGUGACGAUCUUGAUGUACUACCGUCGCAGGGCUUCGCCUAAGCACCGCUACAAUAUUAUCGAGGACUAUGGUGGAAGGGGGCACCGCACACGGCUAAGAAUAUGAUCACGUGGAUCAACUUGUGUCUCUAGGGGUGCCCCGUGCCUCCGUAUAUAAAGGCUCAAAGGGGGGGGGGCUGGCCGGCCAAGAGGUGGCGCGCCAGGAGGAGUCCUACUCCUUCCGGGAGUAGGACUCCCCCCUUUUCCUAGUUGGAAUAGGAUUCGCGGAGGGGGGAAAAGAGGAGAGAGAGGAGGAAGGGGGGCCGGCCCCCUCUCCUUGUCCUAUUCGGACCAAAGGGGGGGGAGGGGCGCGCGGCCCAUCUCUGGCCACCUCUCCUCUCUUCCACUAAGGCCCACUAAGGCCCAUAUACCUCCCGGGAGCUUCCGGUAACCUCCCGGUAAUCCGGUAAAAUCCCGAUUUCACCCGGAACGCUUCCGAUAUCCAAAUAUAGGCUUCCAAUAUAUCAAUCUUUAUGUCUCGACCAUUUCGAGACUCCUCGUCAUGUCCGUGAUCACAUCCGGGACUCCGAACAAACUUUGGUACAUCAAAAUGCAUAAACUCAUAAUAUAACUGUCAUCGUAACCUUAAGCGUGCGGACCCUACGGGUUCGAGAACAAUGUAGACAUGACCGAGACACGUCUCCUGUCAAUAACCAAUAGCGGAACCUGGAUGAUCAUAUUGUCUCCUACAUAUUCUACGAAGAUCUUUUAUCGGUCAGACCGCAUAACAACAUACGUUGUUCCCUUUGUCAUCGGUAUGUUACUUGCCCGAGAUUCGAUCGUCGGUAUCCAAUACCUAGUUCAAUCUCGUUACCGGCAAGUCUCUUUACUCGUUCCGUAAUACAUUACCCCGCAACUAACUCAUUAGUUGCAAUGCUUGCAAGGCUUCAGUGAUGUGCAUUAUCGAGAGGGCCCAGAGAUACCUCUCCGACAAUCGGAGUGACAAAUCCUAAUCUCGAAAUACGCCAACCCAACAUGUACCUUUGGAGACACCUGUAGAGCUCCUUUAUAAUCACUCAGUUACGUUGUGACGUUUGGUAGCACACAAAGCGUUCCUCCGGCAAACGGGAGUUGCAUAAUCUCAUAGUCAUAGGAACAUGUAUAAGUCAUGAAGAAAGCAAUAACAACAUACUAAACGAUCGGGUGCUAAGCUAAUGGAAUGGGUCAUGUCAAUCAGAUCAUUCAACUAAUGAUGUGAUCCCGUUAAUCAAAUAACAACUCUUUGUCCAUGGUUAGGAAACAUAACCAUCUUUGAUUAACGAGCUAGUCAAGUAGAGGCAUACUAGUGACACUCUAUUUGUCUAUGUAUUCACACAUGUAUUAUGUUUCCAGUUAAUACAAUUCUAGCAUGAAUAAUAAACUUUUAUCAUGAUAUAAGGAAAUAAAUAAUAACUUUAUUAUUGCCUCUAGGGCAUAUUUCCUUCACGUGAUCCGGUGAAGCAUGAGCUCACCAAGCACAUCGGUGUGGAUGCCCACUUUGUGCGUGCUGCAGUACAAGAUUAGGUUCUUGCUCUCCACUAUAUGCCCUCUGAGUUACAGUUGGCUGACUUCUUCACGAAGGCCCAAACUCGAGCGCAGCACGGGUACUUUCUCUCCAAACUCAGUGUGGUUGAUCCACCAUGAGUUUGAGGGGAGGUGUUAGAUGUGUUAGAUAUGUAUAGUCUCUCUUUUCUGUUUAUCCCCAUUGUACACAUGUAUAUGUACUGGCCCUUGGCCCUCUUGAGAAUAUAGCACCAACUGUCCCUUGUAGCAAAUCAUGAUCGAACGCGGCGUCUAAAUUUAGCUUUAUAUAUCCUGUUUGAGGUUUCACGCAUGUUGCAGUUCGAGUCUUUGACACAUAUGUAGCUAGUUAAAUUGAUGACCUAAUACUCCCUCUGCCCAGUGCAUAGGGCGUGUGCCUAGUUUUACGUCACCAAUUUAACUAGCUACACAUGUAUUAUAUAUAUAUAUAUAUAUAUAUAUAUAUAUAUAUAUAUAUAUAUGUGUGUAUAUAUAUAUAUAGAAACAACAUUCGCGUAUGUGUAUCCAAUGAUAUGCUUUUAAUGACAUAUAAUACAUUUUAGUUAGUUACAUUCACAACCUACAACCUAGAACUACAGGCAUGCCCUAUGCACGGAGACAGAAGGAGUAUUUCUUUUCUAAAAUGAUCAAGAGGGGAGUUAAAACAACGUUUGACAAUUGAUGUUCCCACACCAUUCACGCAUGUUGCAAUGGUUUGCAUGUGUAAUACUUGACCUGAAACAGAAUUGUGUGGUGUAAUGCUUCGCCCCCUCCUUGUAGGGCAUCGAGCUGCCGUGUUGUCUUCUGAUCAUACCAGGGAUGCUUAUAUUUUUGGAGGUUAAAUGCAUAUCACUGUUUUUUCAUUUAUAUCCUUGAUGAGAAUUAGGACCUGUGCUUUUGGCUCAGAUUAUUGUUGUCUGUGAAAGAUGCGGUCAAGGUGAUACCUACUGUAUGGAUUUUUUUCUAUGAGUAUCCAUUUGCUAUCACAUCCUUUUUUCUAUGUAUGUUUGACAAGGAUUAUAUAUACCUAGACAGCGUCAGCAGGGGCAGAGGAUACAUGUGUUGCGGCCAAAACGGCUGCAUAUUCCAAGGCGUCUGGAUGGGACAGCAAAAUGUCCACCAAGGGUUGGGCAGCGAUUGGUGGUCUUCAAGGAUGCAGAUAUUCGAGGGGCCGAGGGGGGAUGGCUCUGGGACCAGAGGACCAUCAUCGGCAUCUCUAUUUAGCGGUCCACUCUUCGGCAACCCGCUAUAAUCCCAUACUUGACAUAUAAGGGAGCCGACGAGUCCCAAAGAAAGAAUGAAAUGAAGGAAAGGCUGUUGUAAUAUGUUGAUAUAGGCUCUGGUUGGGUUCUUGUGUUGGCGGGUGUGUCAGAACCAGAACCCACCACACGCACUUGAUGAUUUUAAAUCAUAUAGGAUCCAAUAUAGUCAAUUCACAUUACAAAGAGGUGUGUAAAUGAUUUAAGUCUCACAACAUAAUUUCAAAAAAAAAAGUCUCACAACAUCAAGUGCACUUUAAUUUAGUCAACAGAACAGAACUCGUUGCAUCACUAUAUAGCCUAGGCAAAGGACCAAAGCAGUAGAGUAAGAAGGCAACAUCACAUAAUUUUUCUUCCUUAGACAGAGUAUAAAGAAAGAAUUUGUUUUAGCGCAGCCUCCUGGCGUCCCGCACAUCCUCGAGCAGGGUGAGGAUGUCGCCAUCACGGAGCAGAAUCCACCACAUGCACUUGAUGAUUUUACAAGUAGAAGCGAUCCAGAUUUAUACUCAAAACAUAGGAUUCAAUAUAGUCGAUUCUCAUUACCGAGAGGUGUGCAACAAUAACAUCAAGUGCAUUUUAAUUUCAGCAACAGAAGGAAACUCAUUACAUCUCCAUAGCCAAGGCAAAAGACGGAAGCAGUAGAGUAAGAAGGCAACAGCACACAAUUUCAGGAGUACUUCCGAAGACAGACAGGUGAAGAAAGAAAGUGCUUAGCGCAGCCUCCUGGCCUCCCGCUCAGACUCGAGCAGGGUGAGGAUGUCGCCCUCCCGGACAG
rnacentral:lncRNA from 1 species